rnacentral:lncRNA from 1 species
UGCUGGAUAUGCUAGGAGGGAUUCUACCCGAAAUCUUGUUGUUGGAUAGGUCAAGGGAUUCUAAUUUUUUGAGGUCGCCAAUGUUUGUAGGGAUUUUCCCACUCAAAUUGUUUUGAGAGAGGUUCAAAUUCUGAAGUUGGACUAGCCUCGUCAACUUUUUUGGUAUUUCACCAUUUAAAUUGUUUGCAGAUAAGUCAAUGGAAUGGAAGAAUUGGAGUGUCUUGUCAUAUAUUCAGCUAGUUCCCUUUGCAUGAACCAUGACGUAAAUGAGUGUCGGAUCUGACCAACGGGUCCAAGGGUGCUAAUCACUGAUGUCUUCAACCAUAGACAACAAUUCAUUAAAACACAGCGGAAUGCUUCCGGAAAUGUUGUUCCAUGCUAGGCUUAAAAACUGGAGAUAAUGAAGUUGGCAGAGUUGCGAGGGAAUGCCUCCGGUGAAACUAUUCUUCUCAAGAUCAAUCAAGGCUAAUGAUUGAGAAUGUCGUCCAAAUGGAGGAAUUUCACCAGUGAAGUCAUUAUCACUUAGAUCGAGGAAGAGAAGUUCAGUUAGGUUUGACAAACAUUGGGGAAGCACUUUGUCGAAGCCAUUUUUAUGCAGGUGCAGAACUUGUAAUUGCUUAGAAUGGCAGAAAGAGUUAGUAAUCUGACCUCUUAACCUGUUGUCACUCACCGAAAUCACAUUCAAUUGUUUCAAAUUUUUCAGACAUAAGGGUAGUCUCCCGGAUAGUUGGUUCUUUGACAGAUCAAGAUAUGAUAGGCUCCCCAUCGCACAUAGUGAAUUUGGUAUGCUGCCGCUGAGACUGUUGCUAGAAAACAUCAGAUAUUGUAACCAUGACAUCUUGUUUCCGUCCAUUCUGGAAAUGGGGCUUAGAGAGGGAAUUCUCCCGGAUAGUUGGUUCCUUGACAGAUCAAGAUACGAUAGGUUCUCCAUCGCCAAUAGAGAAUUCGGUAUGCUGCCGCUGAGAUUGUUAUCAGAAAGAUCAAGAGUUUGUAACAGUGAUAUCUUGUUUCCGUCUAUUCUGGAAAUGGGGCCUCUGAGCAUAUUGUUACUGAGAUUAAGCUCUCUAACGUUAAGUAAAAUGUCAGAAAGCCAAUUGGGAACUUCAUCUGAGAUGUUUGCAUUGGACAUGUACAACUCUGAAAUAUUCCUCUCCGUUUGAAGCCACGGUGGAAAUUUCGGUCCCACAUCAAUAUUUGACAUGCCAAUAUACUGAAGUUGGAAUAGAGGGACCCAGGCGGGAUCAAAACUUAAAACAAGCUCAUUAGACGAAAUGCCCAAAGCGAUCAGGCUCGUGAGAUUUGCAAAGUGCAUUUCACCAACAACUCCGUCCAAUUUGUUAUUGCUGAGUCUUAACUCUCUUAGAGAUGAUAACUCCCCCAAAGUUACCGGAAUAGGUCCUGACAUUGAGUUAUACGACAGACUUAGCUCCUCGAGAUCCUCCAAACUCCCAAAUUGGUAUGGUAUAUGGCCACUGAAAUUAUUGCGACUGAAAUCACAAAUCCUCAAGUCACUUUUUGCAGACUCCAAAGGACCAUGGACGAUGCUCCCAAGAUCUCCAUCGAAUUUAUUAUCCGCCAAAUUUAAUACACGGAACUUGUAGAGACUGUUGAAGUUUUUCAGAAUUUGACCAUCUAGCAAAUUAAAAGACAAAUCAAGAAAGGAAAGUUGUUGAUUAUUAUCAAAGAGUGUCCUGGGAAAUGUGCCUUUCAAAUAAGUUCGGUUCAAAUCGAUAUGCUCAAGCUUGCUAAAGUUGUAGAACCAGGGAGGAAUAGUAGAAUUAGAAUAUAUGAUACUGCUUCCUAGAUCCAGGAAUCUUAAAGAAGUGAAGUUGACAGAUAGAUAGUCUGGAAGUUUUUCGAGAGAACAACCCGUCAACUGCAAAGAUUGCAGUGAAGAAAGCAUAUUAAUGGAACUAAACCAAUCUUUGGCUUUCCUAAGGUCAAUGUUAGCGAGGUGAAAGUAUUUCAAGGAAGAUGAUUUCGACACCCAUCGGAGGUUAUCAGUUGUUAAAUCACCCUUGCCAAACCAACUGGUAAGAUCCAGAUACCGCAAGUUGGAUAGGUUACCGAGGUGAGGAGGUAUGUUUCCAUCAAAACCUGCGUUUGAUAGAUUAAGAUACUCUAGUCUCUGGAGAGUACUGAAGAAUUGGGGGAUUUUUUGCUUGGAAAAAUUGUUGAGGCUGAGGUCUAGAUACUUCAAAUGCUUCAGUUCAGCCAAAGAUGCAUGGAUUUUACCUGCCAAGCUACUCUUAUCUGAACAUGAGACAUCUCUUCCGGGGAGGAAGGUCUCACAGAAUGGAUUACGAAGAUCGAGUUUGAAAACAUGGCCAGUCUUUUUGCUGCAUUCAACUCCUUUAUGAUAUUACUAGUAUGAGUACCUAGAGGGGGGUGAAUAGGUAUAUAAAAGAUUUUUCUUCAACAAUCGCACAAUACUAGACAGUUCAUGGAUUUUAGACAAACGAUAAUCAAAGUAAGACUGAGAGAAGAGAAAAUUGAACACGCGGUUUAUAGUGGUUCGGCUUAUAUCAAGCCUACGUCCACUCUUCUUCACUGACAGCCUAUUGGCUGGAUUCCACUAUGAACAAAAGAGAAGUUACAGCACAGCUUUGCCUUGAUUCCACAGUGUAGAUGUUCUACCACACCUCCUCAAGAUUUCUCACAAAUAUAGACUCUCUUUUGUAUGCAAGUAUUCGCUCAAAAGAAUUGUCUAAACAAAAAGGAGCUUCAGACUUUGGAAUUUUUCUAUCGUGCACACCUUGAACAACUAAGACCGUCUUCCUUAUAUACUCCUUUAUGCCAUCAUACCCGUUGGCACUUACCAAAAGAAUUCCUCCAAUUUACCCGUUGGACGGAAUCAAUUAGGAAGAUUGUUCAAGCUAUUAAAGGAACGUGUUGAUAGCCCAUCAAUCAUGUUCGCCCAUACAAUCAGGAUCUCGGUUUCCAUAAGUAGAACCUUCCAAUAAUAUUUAGGCAAUCACCGGAUCUUCAAUUUAUCGAGUCAAUCUUCGAUCAAUCAAAGGACUCCGUUAUGUCUUCUCCAGCCAUGAGAUCUUCUCCAGUUGAUAAGGUUAAAUCCUUAACGAAACAUCCAGUUCUGGAUAACCUUUCUUCAACGGAUUAGAGACUGUCAAUGAGGAUAGACUUUGAGUCUUGAGUCUGGCUGUCCGGAGGUCUUCAGACUUUACAUAUCAGAGUCUGCAAGCCUUCAGACUAGACUGAUAGAAAUGAUUUGUCAACUUCAAAACACUUCAAGAGGAUUUCUCCAACACUUUCCACUCACAACAGUCCUUGCUAGUCCACGAUGACAAGCGUUUAGAAUGGUCGAUGAGACCUUGCCUGAAUUUCAAGAGAGCUUCUCUCUCUGUACCAAAGCAGCUCACAUUGGUGAAAGCUUCGGAAUGGCCAAACUCAAAUGAUUGAAACACGAGAAGAGUCUACAAUAUGAGGGAUGCAAAGGUAGGGGCUGAUGCCAUUGCUUUCGAUAAUAUGGGAUUAGGAAAUGCAGUGUACUUCCUCCGUUUUAUGGUGACAUGGGUCUUGGGAAGGUCUUAAUUGAACUUCAUCAAGAAAAGGACAUUACUCGUUUCCUACUUAUUUGAUUUGGCCAUCACUCUCGAUCAAUGUUGUCACACCACGAAUCCUAAUAGAAAAAGGGAAUGGCACGGCUGUCAUUCGGAUUCUAUGUGACAAACAUAUAUAUUAAUAACUCAAAAUAUAUCAAAUCUUCGUCACUUUAAGAUGUGAGUUUACAAAUUCAUAGAAUAGAUAGCACAACUUAUCUCAAAAUGCCUACAACCAAACAACAAACGUUACUCGAAUUGUCAAAUUCGUGACUCUAUCAAAUAAAGUAAAACAAUGGUAAAAUAAAGUAAAACGCUACCUCGACUACAAAAUGGUUAAACUACAUCUAAAUGCUAACAAAACAACUUAUACAUAUUAACAAAUCACAUAUCCAAAACAAUUAUUCAAGGUAUUCGCAAAGCAAAACUUGAACGCAGAAUCUUAAAAUUUCACUCCACCUAAACUGUUAAUUCGAAUCAACUUUCACAAAAUCUCAUGGUUCUACAAUGACAUAAUUUAUAUUUUCCAUAUACCGAAGCUCCACAGCUCGAGAAUCUAACUUUGCAGCUCAAUUGUCACGAAGUUUUAACUUUGAGCCAUAAUUCUGAAAACUACUCUAAUUAGACAAACGAAGGGCACAAGCACUUACCAGAUGUUGCGAUAUGAAGUCAAAUCAACUUGGCGAAGCGUCUAUGGCGUGAAUGCGCAGAACCCUCUCUCUUUUACUUUUCUUCUUCUUUCCCUUUUUCUCUAUUCUUUUCUUUCCGUUUGUGUCAGUCUCGGCCCGUCGGCCCGUCUCUAAAAGCUGAAGGUGUCCACUAUUCCUUGUUUUUGUUGACUUAGUCAACUUAUUUUAUUUUUUUCUGCUUUGAUCGAGUCAAAGUCCAUAUUUACAAGACCAUGUAAAUAUUAGAGUUGAAGGUUAGUCUAAUCCUUUUGCCAUGUAUAUAUGUAAAUUAUAAAUCACGCAUUCAACUAAUAGUUUAAAUUUUUAUAUUAGUUAGUCAUGAUCGCACAAAAUCUUACAUUAUAUUAUAGUUGAAGGUUCUGAGUUCAAAUUUUAUCAAGCGCUAUUUGCCUCCCUAAUCAAAUAUAACCACGCUUAGUAUUAAGCAAAAUGAUUAGAUUAACGUGAGGAGAGUGUUAUAAUAUUUAUAUAAUAAACCACAUUUUCAUCUAACAGCUUGAACUUUUAAAACAGUUGGCAGAUAUCUCAUGUCUCACAAAAUCUUUCAGAAACAAACAAGAAAUGCUGUGAAAAGAAAAUAACAUGAACAGUAGAGAGAUAAAGUAAACAUUGGAAAACUUUGGCCGAAAGCUGUGGUAGUCAAUGUGAAACCUCUAAAAGUUUCAUUUUGAUUACAACCUACCAAUGUGUUUCUUCCUUCAUGUACCAACCAUUUGAGACGAGUCUAUGAAUGCUUUAUGACCUCUUUCUUGUUAUGACCAUUUGGUAGUUUACUCUUUUAUAGUUCUUUUAACAAACAAAAAUCUAGAAUGACUCAAACCACUUAGAUCACAGAAUCAAAUCAAAAUGAAAGCAACUUGGCAUUCUCAAUAUCAAAUUCAUGACAAACAGUUGUCACCGAAAUCUUCCUGAUUUGGUUUCGAUUUAGGCCGCGACUGAAUGUGUGGAUCAAUAGUUUUGCGCUGGUGUUCCACUUUCUUUUAUUAUAUGGUCGACUGUUGGUCCUCUGGGUGCUCCACCAUCUUUGUAGCUUGUUCUAUUCUCCCUAAGAUGAUGCAUCACGUGUUUUGCAAAAUUGAUCAUCUGCUUGUCGUUUGACAUGUCUUCUUUCUUCAACACGUCAUAUGCUUACGCAUAUCAAUCGCUAAUAAUUUUUUACAUAGCGAACCAGCCUCCUUUGCUCAUCCAAGUGUAACUUUUUCGACUAUUGUUGCAUUCGGACGGAGGUGAUCAUCCACGUCUUGACGAAGAGUACAUGACAAAAUCGAUAUACACAUGCAUUGUCCAAAUCACUUACACCAUGUUAAUCUUAGGUCAAAAUAACUUUUCUCAAGCUUAAUUAAAUGAACCAAGACAUGGUCAAAGUGGACACGCAUGAAUUUUAUAUUAGUUAGUUGUGAUCUUACAAAAUUUUACAUUAUAUUAGAGUUGAUGGUCUAGGGUUCAAAUCUUAUCAAGCCCCAUUUGCCUCCCCAAUCAAAUAUGUGUGUGCUUAGUAUUAGGCAAAAGGGUCAGACUAACCGUGAGGAAGAGUGUUAUAAUAUUUAUAUAACAAACCGCGUUUUCAUUUAACAGCUUAAGCUUUUAAAACAGUUGGCAGAUGUCUCACAAAAUUUUUCAGAAACAAAUAAGAAAUGUUGUGAAAGGAAAAUAGCAAGAAUGAUAGAGAGAUAAAGUAAACACUGGAAAACUUUGGCCGAAAGCUGUCGUAGUCAAUGCGAAACCUUUAAAGAUUUCAUUUUCAGCAGAAUCUACCAAUGUGUUUCUUCUUUCAUGUACCAACCAUUUGAGACGAGUCUAUGAAUGCUUUAAGACCUCUUUUUGUUAUGACCAUUUGGUAGUUUCCUCUUUUAUAGUUCUUUUAACAAACAAAAAUCUAGAAUGACUUGGACCACUUAGAUCACAUAAUCAAAUCAAAAUAAAAGCAACUCGGCAUUCUCAACGUCAAAUUCGUGAUGCAUAGUUGUCACCGAAAUCUUCCUGAUUUUGUUUCAAUUUAGGCCACGACUGAAUGUGUGGAUCAAUAGUUUUGCACUAGUGUUCCACUUUCUUUUAUUUUAUGGUCGACUAUUGGUCCUCUGGGUGCUCCACCAUCUUUUUAGCUUGUUCUAUUCUCCCCAAGAUGAUGCAUCACGUGUUUUGCAAAAUUGAUCAUCUGCUUGUCUUUUGACAUGUCUUCUUUCUUCAACAUGUUUACACAUAUCAAUCGCUAAUACUUUUUUACAUGGCGAACCGGCCUCCUUUGCUCAUCCAAGUGUAACUUUUUCGACUACUGCUACAUUCAGACGAAGGUGAUCAUCCACGUCUUGACGAAGAGUACAUGACAAAAUCGAUAUACACGUGCAUUGCCCAAAUCACUUACACCAUGUUAAUCUUAGGUUGAAAUCACUUUUCUGGAGCUUAAUUAAAUGAACCAAGACAUGGUCAAGGUGGAAACGCACUAAUUUUAUGUUAGUUAGUCGUGAUCUUACAAAAUUUUACAUUAUAUUAGAGUUGAUGGUCCGGGGUUCAAAUCUUAUCAAGCCCCAUUUGCCUCCCCAAUCAAAUAUGUGUGUGCUUAGUAUUAGGCAAAAGGAUUAGACUAGCUGUGAGGAGGAGUGUUAUAAUAUUUAUAUAAUAAACCACGUUUUCAUUUAACAUCUUAAGCUUUUAAAACAGUCGGCAGAUUUCUCACAAAAUUUUUCAGAAACAAAUAAGAAAUGCUGUGAAAAGAAAAUAGCAAGAAUGAUAGAGAGAUAAAGUAAACAUUGGAAAACUUUGGCCGAAAGCUGUCGUAGUCAAUGCGAAACCUUUAAAGAUUUAAUUUUCACUAGAACCUACCAACGUGUUUCUUCUUUCAUGUACCAACCAUUUGAGAUGAGUCUAUGAAUGCUUUAUGACCUCUUUUUGUUAUGACCAUGUGGUAGUUCCUCUUUUAUAGUUCUUUUAACAAACAAAAAUCUAGAAUGACUCGGACCACUUAGAUCACAGAAUCAAAUCAAAAUAAAAGCAACUCGGCAUUCUCGACGUCAAAUUCGUGACGCACAGUUGUCACCGAAAUCUUCCUAAUUUGGUUUCGAUUUAGGCCGCGACUAAAUAUGUGGAUCAAUAGUUUUGUGCUACUGUUACACUUUCUUUUAUUAUAUGAUUGACUGUUGGUCCUCUGAGUCUCCACCUUCUUUUUAGCUUGUUCUAUUCUCCCCAAGAUGAUGCACCUCAUGUUUUGCAAAAUUGAUCAUCUGCUUGUCUUUUGGCUCGUCUUCUUUCUUCAAAACAUCAUAUGCUUACACAUAUCAAUCGCUAAUACUUUUUUACAUGGCGAACCAGCCACCUUUGCUCAUCCAAGUGUAACUUUUUGGACUAUUGCCGCAUUCGGACAGAGGUGAUCAUCCACAUUGUGAUGAAGAGUACAUGACCAAAUCAAUAUACACGUGCAUUGUCCAAAAAUUGUAUCCUUUUGUAUCGGAACCCUCUUCUCAUGGGUAAAUUUCCUCUUAGAAUGGUGCAUGGUAAAAAAUUCGGCAUGGACAUUGAACAUCAAUUGCACCAUGUUAAUCUUAGGUUGAAAUCACUUUUCUUGAGCUUGAUUAAAUGAACCAAGACUUGGUCAAAUUGAACACACACGAAUUUUAUAUUAGUUAGUCGUGAUCUCACAAAAUCUUACAUUAUAUUAAAGUUGAAGGUCCUGGGUUUAAAAUUUAUCAAGCCCCAUUUUCUUCCCCAAUCAAAUAUGUCCGUGCUUAGUAUUAGGCAAAAGGAUCGGACUAACCGUGCAGAGGAGUGCUAUAAUAUUUAUAUAAUAAACCACAUUUUUAUCUAACAACUUAAACUUUUAAAAUAGUUGGCAGAUGUCUAACAAAAUCUUUCAGAAACAAACAAUAAAUGCUUUGAAAAGAAAAUAACAAGAACAACAGAGAGAUAAAGUAAACAUUGGAAAACUUUGGCUGAAAGCUGUCGUAGUCAAUGUGAAACCUUUAAAGGUUUCAUUUUGACUAGAACCUACCAACGUGUUUCUUCCUUCAUAUACUAACCAUUUGAGACAAGUCUAUGAAUGCUUUAUGACCUCUUUCUUGUUAUGACCAUUUGGUAGUUUCCUCUUUCAUAGUUCUUUUAACAAACAAAAAUCUAGAAAUGAGUUGGACCACUUAGAUCACAUAAUCAAAUCAAAUUAAAAGCAACUCGGCAUUCUUCGCGUCAAAUUUGUGACGCAUAGUUGUCACCGAAAUCUUCCUGAUUUGGUUUCGAUUUAGGCUGCGACUGAAUUUGUGGAUCAAUAGUUUUGUGCUGGUGUUCAACUUUCUUUUAUUAUAUGGCCGACUGUUGGUCCUCUGAGUGCUCCACCUUCUUUUAAGCUUGUUCUAUUCUCCCCAAUAUGAUGUGUUGGAGAAAAUUUCCUUGUGUGUUUUGAAGAUGACAAAACGUUUCCAUCAGUCUAGUCUGAAGACUUGCAAACUCUUUAGUCAAAGUCUAAAGAUUGCCAAUCCGCCAGACUCAAGAUUCAAAGUCUAUCCUCAUUGACAGUUUCUAGACUGUCGAAGAAGUCUUAUCUAGAUUUAAGUAUCUUGUUAAGGAUUUGAUUCUAUCGAUUGAAGAAGAUCUCUCAGCUGGAGAUAGCAUCUUGGAAUCUGUUAUUCGUUUUGAUUUCAAUUCGGGUCAUUUAGAUCCGUUGAUUGACGAAGCAUACUUGGAAGGUUCUACUUAUGGAAACCUAGAUCCUGAUUGUAUGGGCGAGCAGGAUUGGUGGGCUAUCGUCAUAUUCCUUAAAUAACUCAAAAUCUUCCUAAUUGAUUAUGUCCAACGGGUAUAUUGGAAGAACUCCUUUGGUAAGUGCCAACGGGUAUGAAGGCAUGGAGGAAUAUAUAAGGAAGUCGUUCCAGUUAUUCAAGUGUGUGCGCGAUAAAAGAAUUCCAAAGUCUGAAGCUCAUUGUUCUUUGUCAAUUCAAUUGUUGAGCGAAAACUUGUACUCAAAAGAGUGUUUAUAUUUCUGUGAGAUUUUGAGGAAGUGUAGCAGAGUCUCUACACUAUAGAAUCAAGGAAGAGCUAUACUGUAAACAACUCUUUUGAUUCUUAGUGAAAUCCAGCCGGUGGGCUGUUAGUGCGAAAGAGUGGACGUAGGCUUGGAUCAAGCUGAACCACUAUAAAAUUUGUGUUCUUAUUCUCUUCCCUAAGCUCUUUACUUUGAUAGUAUCAAUAUUUGUUUGUUAGAGUCUAAUUUCCUUUUCAUAAUCUAUUGCUAAACAGAGUCGGUUCAAAAGUAAAAUUAUAAUCUUUACUCUGCAAAAUUUGUUUUCGCACUUAUUCACCCCCUCUAGGUGCUCAUACUAGCUUUCACAAUUGGUAUUAGAGCUUGCGUACUCAUUUAAGUUGAAGUGUUUUUACUUCAGAGUUAAAGAUCCAUGGCUAGUAUGUUGGCUCCAGGUCUGGUUGAAGGGCAAAGCAACACCAGACCGCCAUAUUUUGAUGAAAAUGAUUACAGCAUAUGGAAAAACAAAAUGAAGGCAUUCAUAAGAUCAAAGUAUUCUUUGGAAUAGGACAUGGUAGACAAAUGAAUCAUUCCUAAAGCUACAACAGUCUCAGAAAUGGGAAAAGAAGCUGUUGAGUCUAGUGAAAUGAUUCAAGAAGAGAUAAUCAAGAGACAAGCUCUUGAUGCAAAAGCAAUUUAUUCCUUAUAUUGUGCAUUAUCACCUACUGAAUAUAACAUAAUAUCUUCUUGUGAAACAACUAAAGAAGUCUGGGAUAAAUUGCACAUCACCUAUGAAGGGACCGAUCGAGUGAAAGAAACCAGAAUCAAUAUUCAGCUUGGUCAUUAUGAAGCAUUCAAGAUGAAACCAGGAGAAUCUAUCACUGACAUGUUUAGUCGUUUUACAGAAAUUGUGAAUGGUCUUGAAUAUCAAGGUCAAUCAAUCUUUGAACCUAUGAAGGUCAACAAGUUACUGUGUGGACUUUCCAAGGAUUGGAAUCACGUAAAUACCUCGAUAAGGGAGACACAAAUGAUCAUGCCACUAUCUGUUGACGAAUUGGUUAGCAUCCUUCAGUCUUAUGAAGUGGAGCAAAUCAACGAAAAUGAAGAUCCCAAAGGUAAGAAAUCCAUUGCGUUGAAAUCUAAUGAUGAUUCUGAUGUCACAGAUUCUGAAGACGAUAUGGACGAUGAAGAGCUUGCUCUCAUGAUAAGAAGAAUCAAAAAGCUGAAUAGAAAAGGGAGAAGACUCAAUUCGAAGAAACAAAGUUCUCAAAAGCUACAAAAUAAAUCAGCUCAGGAUGAUGAAUCCAACAAGGAUGUAAUCUGUUUUGAGUACAAGAAAAAUGGACACAUCAGACCCAUUUAUUCUCUACUGAAGAGAAAGAAAGUAAAAACUGAGAAAUAUUGAAAAUCACUUAAAGCAGAAACUUGGAGUGAUACUGAGUGUGAAGAAAGUGAUGAUGAUUAUGCCAAUUUUUGUCUAAUGGCACACUCAGAAUCAGAAUCAGACUCUGAGACAGACUCAGAGUCAGACAGUGAAAUAGAGGUAAGUAAUUUAAAAAUUCCUGCUAAAGUCUCCAAAUAUAUUGAUAAAUUGUGUCUUAAUCUCAAAACCUCUCUCAAAAGGAUUUCCAAACUUAAAAGGGAAAAUUCUGCACUAAAGCAACAGGAGAUUGUUUUGAAACAAAAGGUCGAUAGUUUAGAUAAAAAUGUUAUUACUUUGAAAGAAAAUGCAUACAAUCUUUCAAAAGAAAAUGCAUUUUUGAAAAAUGAUAUCUCAAGUAUUUCUAAAAGAUUUUCUAUAGGAUCUGAGAAAUUAUAAAAGAUUCUUUCAGCACAAAGACCUUACUUCAACAAAUCGGGUUUGGGAAUGACUGCUGAAACCACUCCUCUAAUUGAUUUUCCUAAGGUAAAUGAAAUAAUUAAACAAAGACCUACAAAAGAUUUUUACAAAAAACAUUUCCAAAAAGUUUAUGUAAAACUUGUAGACCGCAGUGCUCUUAAAUGUUCUCAGUGUAACAGCUCAGAACACUUUGAGAAAGAAUGUCCUAUGGUUUGGAAACCUGUAAGGAAGGUUUGGGCAAAGACUGUAUAUCACACUAACUCCAUUGGACCCAAGAAAAUAUGGGUACUAAAGAAAGCUUGAGUUUCUUUUUUAAAUGCAGGUCACUAUCAAGAAAAAAGGUUAAAUGGUACUUGGAUAGUGAAUGCUCGAGACAUAUGACAGAAUCUGCUUUAUAAAGCUUGUGCAAGUUAAUGGUGAAAAAGUUUCUUUUGGAGGAAAUAGCAAAGGAAGAAUUGUGGGAUACGGAACUGUAAAGAUUGGAAGUCUCACGAUCAGUAACGUUUCCUUAGUAGAAAGACUCAACUACAACUUGCUGAGUAUUAGCCAGUUGUGCGACACCGGUCUCAAAAUUAACUUUCAAGAAGGAAUGUGUUCAGGAACUAGUAAAAACUCCUCUCAGAUUUUUACGGGGCGAAGACAUGGGAAUAUCUAUCUCUUGGAUAUUAAACAAGAAAAAUCCCAAUGUCUAAUCUCAAUUCAAGAGGAAGCAAAUCUAUGGCACAUAAAGCUUAGGCACAUCAACAUGAAGCAAAUUGCCAAUAUCUCUACAAAGAAGCUUGUUCGUGGACUACCCAAUCUGACAUACCAAAAGUCUGGCCUUUGUACACCAUGCAUAUUGGGAAACCAGGUAAGAAAUUCAUUCAAACCAAUAAAUCAAGUGUCCACAAAUCGUGUAUUGUAGCUAUUACACAUGGAUCUCUUUGGACCAACCAGAACUCAGAGCAUUGGAGGUAAGAAAUAUUGCCUAGUAAUUGUGGAUGAUUAUUCACGAUUCACUUGGGUAUAUUUCCUAGCAAGUAAGUCUGAAACAUUUUCUUAUUUUAUAAAAUUUGCUAAGAAAGUUCAAAAUGAGAAAUGGUAUGUUAUUUCCAGUAUACGGACAGACCAUGGAGAUGAGUUUGAAAAAUCAAGACUUUGCUAAACUUUUGUGAUGAAUUUGGUUUUCAGCAUGCAUUCUCUUCUCCUUAUACUCCAGAGUAGAAUGAAGUUAUGUAAAGAAAGAAUAGAUCUUUGCAAUAGAUGGCUAGAACUCUUUUAAUUGAAAGUAACAUUUCUUCUCGUUUUUGGGCUGAAGCAGUUUCUACAGCAUGCUAUAUUAUUAACAGAGUAUUCCUAAGGCCUAUUAUGGAGAAAACUCCCUAUGAGUUGUUCAAAGGAAAGAAGCCAAUUGUUUUCUAUUUUCAUGUGUUUGGAUGUAAAUGUUUUAUAUUGAAAAACGCAAAUGAUCGAAUUGGUAAAUUUGAAGAAAAAUCAGACGAAGGUAUCUUCCUUGGAUAUUCAACCAUCAGCAAAGCCUACAGAGUAUACAACAAAAAGACUCAAUCUGUGGAGGAAUCAAUGAAUGUUAAAUUUCAAGACUUUAUGCGAAAUCAAUCGAUUCAGACUCAACCUAAAGAACCUGAACCUGCUCCAGACUCUACAAACUCUAAAUCUACAGAAGCAGCUCAAACUUCAGAAGACCAGCAACAAAUGAUUGCUGAAGAAUCAAAUGAAGAAAAUGAUCAACAGUCUAACAAAUCAACCAGCAACUGGAAGCACAAGUCUAGUCAUCUAAAAGAACUCAUUAUUGGUGACAUUAAUGAGGGAAUUCGUACAAGAUCCAAAAUGUGUGAAGAGUCUAGUGUUGUGGCUCUUAUUUCUGAAAUAGAACCCAAAAGCAUAAAAGAAGCUUUAACUGAUGAAAGCUGGAUCGAAGCUAUGCAAGAAGAACUCAGGUAGUUUAGUAUCAAUGAUGUCUGGGAAUUGACUCCUAAACUGAAAGGUAAAUCUAUCAUUGGAGCUAAAUGAGUUUUCAGGAACAAGGUGAACGAGAAAGGAAAAGUCGUAAGGAAUAAAGCAAGACCUGUGGCCAAAGGAUAUACGCAAGAAGAAGGGAUAAACUAUGAUGAGACCUACGCACCAGUAGUAAGGUUAGAAGUAAUUAAAUUAUUACUUGCUUUUGCUUGUUAUAAGAAUUUCAAGUUAUUCCAAAUGGACGUCAAAAGUGCUUUCCUAAAUGGAUUUAUCCAAGAGGAAGUUUAUGUGGAACAACCUCCCGGUUUUGAAGACCCAAGGAAAUCAGACUCUGUAUUCAGACUAAAAAAGGCGUUAUAUGGUCUAAAGCAAGCACCUCGAGCUUAGUAUGACAUACUAAGUAAGUUUUUGAUCCAAAAUGGGUUUGUUAAAGGUAAAGUAGAUACUACCCUGUUUAUCAAAAGAGAAAACAACAACUUCUUGCUUGUUCAAAUUUAUGUUGAUGAUAUUAUUUUUGGAUCUCCUAAUGAAAAUUUGUGCAAGAAAUUCUCUAAGUCUAUGCAGGAUGAGUUUGAAAUGAGCAUGAUGGGUGAAUUAUCCUUCUUUCUCGGACUUCAAAUAAAACAAUCGAAGGAGGGAAUUUUCAUUCACCAAGAAAAAUAUGCUAAAGAACUUGUGAAAAAGUUUGGCUUGGAGAAUUGCAAAAAGAUUGACAUACCAAUGUUAAGUUCCUCGAAGUUGGACAAAGAUGAAGGAGGAAAGAAAAUUGACUAGAAGCUAUACAGGAGCAUCAUUGGUUCACUUCUUUAUCUUACUGCUUCUAGACCUGACAUUAUGUUUAGUGUUUGUAUUUGUGCCAGAUUUCAAUCAGAUCCCAAAGAAUCUCAUUUAACUGCUGCAAAAUGCAUCAUCAAAUACGUUGCAUCUACUUCAAAUUUAGGUCUCUGGUAUCCUAAAGAAGGAGACUUUACUCUUCUUGGAUAUUCAGACGCAGACCUAGCAGGAUGCAGAGUUGAUAGGAAGAGCACCUCGGGCACUUGUCAAUUGCUUGGGAAUAAGACAGUAUCUUGGUUUUCGAGACUCUAUCUAUAGUAGAAGCAUAAUAUGUGGCUCUUAGAAGUUGUUGUUCACAAAUUCUGUGGAUAAAGCAAUAGCUAAGAGACUUUAGAAUUUAAGAUUCGUGCACUAAGAUCAAAUGUGACAACACCAGCGCAAUCAAUCUCACCAAGAAUCCAAUUCUUCACUCAAGAGCAAAGCAUAUAGAGAUUCGACAUCAUUUCAUUAGAGAUCAUGUUCAAAAUGGAGAAGUCUCGAUUCAGUUUAUUGACUCAAAGAAUCAACUAGCAGACAUCUUCAUAAAGCCUUUGGAGAAAAGUCAAUUUGAGCUUAUUUGUUCCAGACUCAAUAUCUUAAAGUCUGAAGAAGUUCAGAUUCAGGGAUAAAAUUCUAAUGAUAUUCAGACUUAGAAGAUAAAGAUCAACGAUUGCAAGUUAUUUUCGUUUUUAGAAAUUUAUCUCGUUCCGUAUGCCUCUUUUCAACUGCUUUAUAUACUGAUCGUCUUCCUCAAAAUCCUAAAAGCACAGUCCUUCAUUUUCUUACUUUUACUCUCUAGUUUAAUCUUCCAAAUUCUCACCUUUUUCACAAAUCGAGUUUGGAAUCUCUCAAAAACUGUGAAAAUGGCAUCCCAGAGAAAGUCUUCAAGGAUCGCUAACAGGGGACCACGGCAAAUGCGUGAGGGUCCUACACAUUUUGACCGCACCGAGGAAGAAGAAUCUCCGAGACAAGAGCAGAGCCCACAACAUUCUCAACAACGUCAAUCUCCUCAAGCUAGACCUCAAGGCAGUAUUCAUAGAUCGGAUGAAGAAAUCAUUGAAGACGCAGAACCCGUAAGAUCUCAAAAGCCCGCUUUUAUGUAUAAGCUUUACUCUGCUUUAAAAAGGAGAGGGACUCCCUUAAAUUAUAUCGAUGAAUUUUUGAAAGAUAAAGGGUAUCAAAAUGAAACCCACUUUUUGCGGACAAUGGAACGAUUGAAGAUUGCUCCUACGGGGUCGGCAGAUCGAGCAUUUACGAAUAUUCCUAGUGAUCUACUUGUUAGAGGUUUUAGUCAGUCUGAUGGGAAUGAUGAUGAUAAAAUGUAUACUCAAUUCAAGUUUAGAAUGGGUGUUGCGGUGAAUGUUCAAAGCAAAAGGACAAAUAUGUUUCGCUUAGAUGAACACAGGCGACUUUACUCUAAGUUGCUAAAAAGAGGGGUGAUCAAUCCGAGGAGUGUAGACUUUGAUUUUCUUGAUUCUGUGAAUGUGAAGCUGAGAAAGAAAUUCACUAAACUUCAGCUUGAGCAAUUUUGUUCUGAGACUACUUAGGCAUAUCCAGAACUUACUGCUUACUUCUAUUCUAAUCUCAGUUUCUUGUAUGCGAAUAGAUUUUCGUUUAGUAUUCGAGACUAGGAUUAUGUUGUUGACAUGGACACAUUGGCGGAUGUGAUUGGAGUGGAGCGAGGGGCUUUCCAAUCGAUUAGUGUGUCUGUUGAUCGUGCGACAGUAGAGCUUGUUUGGGAUGGAAUGGCUGAAGGAAGAAUUUCAUACUUGAGGAUGAAUGCCUCUAACAUUUUGCUUCACAAGAUUUUGAUCAACUGCCUCAGACCCAAAUUAACUUCGAAGACAGACGUCUCUAACUCAGAAGCAAAGUUGAUGUAUGCCAUCAACGUUGGAAAGAAAUUCUCUCUACCUCACACAAUCAUGUUUCACAUGAACAGAACGAUGGUGAAAGACAGAGGGCAGCUUCCUUACUCAGGGCUUGUUACAAAGCUUUUCAGACGUUUCAACAUUCAGCCUCCCAGGAUUUUAUGUGUUCGAUCAUGGUAGUGGGCCUGAAAAUAGUUUCCAAAAUGCUUUUAAAAGAGCUGGACAAAACUUUGGAGUGAUUGAAAAAGAAAACCCCUGUCAAGUCACACCAAGGUUCUUUAGUGGCAAAGUGGAAAGGAAAGGAGCCCAUGACAACUCCAUUCAAGAAAAGAAGAGCACUCGUUCUGGAGGAUGAAGAGGAUGAGGACGAUGUUACCAUUUCUGCUCUUAGCACUGAAAAAUCUUCAAAGUGCUGUUGCAGAGACUGAGGAGAGAGAGGAUCAAGACAAAGGUGAAGAAGAAGAAAAGAGUGGAGAGAGAGAAUCAAUGCAAAAAGAAGCAGAGGAAGAAAGAAUUGCAGAAGAAGAAGAAGGUAGAGGUGAACAAGGAGAAACAGAGCAUGAAGCAUACUUCUCACCUCCUGAGGGCAUUGAAACGGGGGGAGUCGCUGAGAAAAGAGGUACAUCUUCAAUUGUUGUUACUAAUGAAGGUGUUAGUCGCUCACCUGUAGAUCCAGAAGACAUCUAUGCUUCUCAAUUUCCAGAGGAAGGUCAUGAGUUUCAUUGCCAAAUCUGAGUGAUCAUGCUGGCUUGCCAUCAUCUGCAAAUACUCCUACUGAUCAUGCAGAAGCCAGUACUCAGACUGAAAAUUCAGGAGAUCUUUGCAGAAUUCUUGAUGUUCUUAUGGAGAUGCGAGGACAGAUUUAUGCCAUAGGAUGCGAAGUUCAGAACUUGCAAAAUGCAUGUCAAGCCUCUUCAGUUUCCUUGCAUGAUCAGGUUAACGCCCUUGCUCUUCAAGUUCAAGCAAAUGCCAAGGGUGAAGAUGUGGCUCAACUGAAGGAGGAUUUGAAGAAGUUAGAUGGGAUUGUCUAGUCAAUGGGAGAUUUCCAGCUCAUUCGUGUUCCUAGACCACCAUGAUUCCAUUAUCUUUUUAUUUCUACCUUUUUUUAAUGCUAACAAAAAGGGGGAGAGAUGGUGCAGAUUUGAAACUUGACUCUUGUUUGAUUAUUUACUUUUUGAAUGACUUUUGUUUGGCUGUUUGGCUGUGACUGGAUUUGGUUUUGUUUGUUUGAUCGUUUGGUUAUUUUAAGCACUAUUGGUAUUUCAUGGCAAAGAUAGUUGUUUAUUUAUAGGACUAACCUUUUUCAUGUGGUUGCAGAUUCAAUGCUGUCUUUACUAAGUCAAUUAUCUUUGUGAGAUAUCCAUGUUUGCUUGAGUUCUGUUUUGCAGGUAAAAAAUAUCCAAAUCUGUAGGAAAGUUUUGUCACCAUCAAAAAGGGGGAGAUUGUUGGAGAAAACUUCCUUGUGUGUUUUGAAGAUGACAAAACGUUUCCAUCAGUCUAGUCUGAAGACUUGCAGACUCUUUAGUCAAAGUUUGAAUAUUGCCAAUUCACCAGACUCAAGAUUUAGAGUCUAUCCUCAUUGACAGUUUCUAGACCAUCGAAGAAGUCUUAUCCAGAACUAAGUAUCUUGUUAAGGAUUUGAUUCUAUCGAUUGAAGAAGAUCUCUCGGCUGGAGAUAGCAUCUUGGAAUCUGUUAUUCGUUUUGAUUUCAAUUCGGGUAAUUUAGAUCCGUUGAUUGACGAAGUAUACUUGGAAGGUUCUACUUAUGGGAACCUAGAUCCUGAUUGUAUGGGCGAGCAUGAUUGGUGGACUAUCAUCAUAUUCCUUAAAUAACUCAAAAUCUUCCUAAUUGAUUAUGUCCAACGGGUACAUUAGAAGAACUCAUUUGGUAAGUGCCAACGGUAUGAAUGCAUGGAGGAGUAUAUAAGGAAGUCAUUCUAGUUAUUCGAGUGUGUGCGCGAUAGAAGAAUUCCAAAGUCUGAAGCUCCUUAUUUUUUGUCAAUUCAAUUGUUGAGCGAAAACUUGUACUUAAAAGAGUGUUUAUAUUUCUGUGAGACUUUGAGGAAGUGCAGCAGAGUCUCUACACUGUGGAAUCAAGGAAUAGCUAUACUGUAAACAAUUCUUUUGAUUCUUAGUGAAAUCUAGCCGGUGGGUUGUCAGUGCGGAAGAAUGGACGUAGGCUUGGAUCAAGCCGAACCACUAUAAACUUUGUGUUCUUAUUCUCUUCCCUAAACUCUUUACUUUGCUUGUAUCAAUAUUUGUUUGUUAGAGUCUAAUUUCCUUUUCAUAAUCUAUUGCUAAACAGAGUUGGUUCAAAAAUAAAAUUAUAAUCUUUACUCUGCAAAAUUUGUUUUCGCACCUAUUCACCCCCUUUAGGUGCUCAUACUAGCUUUCACAUGAUGCACCUCGUGUUUUGCAAAAUUGGUCAUCCUCUUGUCUUUUGACGUGUCUUCUUUCUCCAACACAUCAUAUGCUUACGCAUAUCGAUUGCUAAUACUUUUUUACAUGGCGAACUAGCCUCCUUUGCUCAUCCUAGUGUAACUUUUUGGACUACUGCCGCAUUCGGACAGAGGUGAUCAUCCACGUCCUGAUGAAGAGUACAUGACCAAAUCGAUAUACACGUGCAUUGUCCAAAAAUUGUAUCCUCUUGUAUUGGAACCCUCUUCUCAUGGGUAAAUUUCCUCUUAGAAUGGUGGAUGGUAAAAAAUUCGACAUCGACAUUGAACAUCAAUUACACCAUGUUAAUCUUAGGUCGAAAUCACUUUUCUUGAGCUUGAUUAAAUGAACCAAGACAUGGUCAAAUUGAACACACACGAAUUUUAUAUUAGUUAGUCGUGAUCUCACAAAAUCUUACAUUAUAUUAGAGUUGAAGGUCAUGGGUUUAAAUUUUAUCAAGCCCCAUUUGCUUCCCCAAUCAAAUAUGUCCGUGCUUAGUAUUAGGCAAAAUGAUUAGACUAACCAUGAAGAGGAGUGCUAUAAUAUUUAUAUAAUAAACCAUAUUUUAUCUAACAACUUUAACUUUUAAAAUAGUUGGCAGAUGUCUAACAAAAUCUUUCAGAAACAAACAAUAAAUGCUUUGAAAAGAAAAUAGCAAGAACGAUAGAGAGAUAAAGUAAACACUGGAAAACUUUGGCCGAAAGAUGUUGUAGUCAAUGUGAAACCUUUAAAGUUUUCAGUUUGACUAGAACCUACCAACGUGUUACUUCCUUCAUGUACCAACCAUUUGAGACAAGUCUAUGAAUGCUUUAUGACCUCUUUCUUGUUAUGACCAUUUGGUAGUUUCCUCUUUCAUAGUUCUUUUAACAAACAAAAAUCUAGAAAUGACUCGGACCAUUUAGAUCAUAGAAUCAAAUCAAAAUAAAAGCAACUUGGCAUUCUCAACGUCAAAUUCGUGACACACAGUUGUCACCGAAAUCUUCUGAUUUGGUUUCGAUUUAGGCCACGAUUGAAUGUGUGGAUCAAUAGUUUUGUGCUGGUGUUCCACUUUCUUUUAUUAUAUGGCCGACUAUUGGUCCUCUGAGUGCUCCACCUUCUUUUUAGCUUGUUCUAUUCUCCCCAAGAUGAUGCACCUCGUGUUUUGCAAAAUUGAUCAUCCGCUUGUCUUUUGGCGUGUCUUCCUUCUUCAACACAUCAUAUGCUUACAGAUAUCAAUCGCUAAUACAUUUUUACAUGGCAAACCAGCCUCCUUUGCUCAUCCAAGUGUAACUUUUUCGACUAUUGCCGCAUUCAAAUAGAGGUGAUCAUCCACGUCUUGACAAAGAGUACAUGACCAAAUCGAUAUACACGUGCAUUGUCCAAAAAUUGUAUCCUCUUGUAUCGGAACCCUCUUCUCACGGGUAAGUUUCCUCUUAGAAUUAUGCAUGGUAAAAAAUUCUGCAUUGACAUUGAACAUCAAUUGCACCAUGUUAAUCUUUGGUCGAAAUCACUUUUCGCGAGCUUAAUUAAAUGAACCAAGAAAUGGUCAAAGUGGACACACGAAUUUUAUAUUAGUUAGUCGUGAUCUUCCAAAAUCUUACAUUAUAUUAGAGUUGAUGGUCCUGGGUUCAAAUCUUCUCAAGCCCCAUUUGCCUCCCCAAUCAAAUAUGUCAGUGCUUAGUAUUAGGCAAAAUGAUUAGACUAAUUGUGAGGAGGAGUGUUAUAAUAUUUAUAUAAUAAAUCACGUUUUCAUUUAACAACUUUGUUGGAGAAAACUUCCUUGAGUGUUUUGAAGUUGACAAAAUGUUUCCAUCUAUCUAGUCUGAUGACUUGCAGACUCUUUCAUCAAAGUCUGAAGACCGCCGGACCGCUAAACUCAAGAUUUAAAGUCUAUCCUCAUUGAUAGUUUUUAGACCGUCGAAGAAGACUUAUCCAGAACUGAGUAUUUCGUUAAGGAUUUGAUUCUAUCGACUGAAGAAGAUCUCUUGGCUGGAUAUAGCAUCACGGAAUCAUUUAUUCAAAUUGAGAUUGAUUCAGGGAUUUUGGAUUCGUUGAUUGGCAAAGUAUAUUUGGAAGGUUCUACUUAUGGAAACCUAGAUCCUGAUUAUAUGGGUGAGUAGGAUUGGUGAGCUAUUAUUAUAUUCCUUAAAUAACUUGAAAUCUCCUUAAUUGAUUAUGUCCAACGGGUAGAUUGGAAGAACUCCUUUGGAAAGUGCCAACGGGUGUGAUGGUAUGAAGGAGUAUAUAAGGAAGACGUUUCAGUUAUUCGAGUGUGUGCACAAUAGAGAAAUUCCAAAGUCUAAAGCUCAUUGUUCUUUGUCAAUUCAAUUAUUGAGCGAAAACUUGUACUCAAAAGAGAGUUUAUACUUUUGUGAGACCUUGAGGAAGUGAAGCAGAGUCUCUACACUGUGGAAUCACGAAAGAGCUAUACUGUAACAACUCUUUUGAUUCUUAGUGAAAUCCAGCCGGUGAGCUGUCAGUGCGGAAGAGUGGACAUAGGCUUGAAUUAAGCCGAACCACUAUAAACCUUGUGUUCUUACUCUCUUCCCUAAGCUCUUUUACUGUGAUUGUAAUUCUAUUUGAUUAUCAGAAGCCUAAUUUCCUUUUCAUAAUCUAUUGCUGAACAGAGUUGGUUUAAAAGUAAAAUUAUUCACUUCACUCUGGAAAAUUUGUUUUUGCACCUAUUCACCCCCUUUAGGUGCUCGUAUUAGCUUUCGCAAUUGGUAUCAGAGCCUGUGUACUCACUUAAGUUGAAGUGUUUUUACUUCAAAGUUAAAGAUCCAUGGCUAGUAUGUUGGCUCUAGGUCUGGUUGAAGGGCAAAAUAAUACCAUACUGCCUUAUUUUGAUGGAAAUGAAUACGACAUAUGGAGAAAUAAGAUGAAGGCAUUCCUAAGAUCAAAGGAUCCUCUAGAAUGGGACGUGGUGCACAAAUGAAUCAUUCCUAAAGCUGCAACAGUCUCAGAAAGAGGAAAAGAAGCUGUUGAGUCCAGUGAAAUAACUUAAGAAGAGAUAACCAAGAGACAAGCUCUUGAUGUAAAAGCAAUUUAUUCCUUAUAUUGUGCAUUAUCUCCUACUGAAUAUAACAUAAUAUCUUCUUGUGAAACAGCUAAAGAAGUUUGGGAUAGAUUACACAUCACCUAUGAAGGAACUGAUUGAGUGAAAGAAACCAGAAUCAACAUUCUGCUCGGUCAAUAUGAAGCAUUCAAGAUGAAACCAGGAGAAUCUAUCACUGACAUGUUCAGUCGUUUUACAGAAAUCAUGAAUGGUCUUGAGUAUCAAAGUCAACCAAUCACUGGACCCAUGAAGGUUAACAAGUUACUGCGUGGACUGUCCAAAGAUUGGAAUCACAUAAAGAUCUCAAUAAAGGAGACAUAAAGAAUCAUGUCACUCUCUGUUGACGAAUUGGUUGGCACUCUUCAGUCUUAUGAAGUGGAGCAAAUCAACAAAGAUGAAGAUCCUAAAGGUAAGAAAUCCAUUGCAUUAAGAUCUAAGAGAUUCUGAAGACGAUAUGGACGAUGAAGAGCUUGCUCUCAUGAUAAGAAUGUUCAGAAAACUGAACAGAAAUGGGAGAAGAUUCAAUCCAAAGAAACAGAGUUCUCAAAAGCUACAAGAUAAAUCAGUUGAGGAUGAUGAAUCCAACAAGAAUGUAGUCUGCUUUGAAUGCAAGAAAAAUGGACACAUUAAACCCAACUGUCCCUUGCUGAAGAGAAAGAAAGGAAAAGCUAAGAAAUAUCGAAAAUCACUUAAAGUAGAAACUUAGAGUGAUAUUGAAUGUGAGGAAAGUGAUGAUGAUUAUGCCAAUAUUUGUCUCAUGGCACAAUCAGACUCGGAUUCAUACUCUGAGACAGACUUAGACUCAGAUAAUGAAAUCAAGGUAAGUAAUUUAAAAAUUCCUACUAAAGUCUCUAAAUACAUUGAUGAAUUGUGUCUUAGUCUUAAAACCUCUCUCAAAAGGAUUUCCGAACUUAAAAGGGAAAAUUCUGCACUGAAGCAAUAGGAAAUUGUUUGGAAAGAAAAUGUUGAAAGUUUAGACAAAAGUGUUAUUACUUUGAAAGAAAAGGCAAACAAUCUUUCAAAAGAAAAUGCAUUCUUGAAAAAUGAUAUCUCAAGCAUUUCUAAAAGGUUUUCUAUAGGAUCUGAGAAACUGGAAAAAAUUCUUUCAGCACAAAGACCUUACUUCAACAAAUCAGGUUUGGGAACGACUGCUAAAACCAUUCCUCUAAUUGAUUUUCCUAAGGUAAAGGAAAGAAUUAAACAAAUACCUACAAAAGAUUCUUACUAAAAUCAUUUUCAAAAAGUUUUUGUAAAACUUGUAGGCCGCAAUGCUUUAAAAUGUUCUAAGUGCAAUAGCUCAGAUCAUUUUGAGAAAUAAUGUCCUAUGGUUUGGAAACCUGUUAAGAAGGUUUGGGCAAAUACCGUUUAUUACACUAACACCAAUGGACCCAAGAAAAUAUGGGUACCAAAGAAAGCUUGAGUUUCUUUUCUAAAUGCAGGUCACUAUCAAGAAAAAUGUUAAAUGGUACUUGGAUAGUGGAUGCUCAAGACAUAUGACAGGAGACUCAAAUUGUUUCAUAAAACUUGUGCAAGUUAAUGGUGGAAAAGUCUCUUUUGGAGGAAAUAGCAAAGACAUAAUUGUAGGAUACGGAACCGUAAAAAUUGGAAGCCUCACGAUCAGUAAUGUUUCCUUAGUGGAAGGACUCAACUACAACUUGCUGAGUAUCAGUCAGCUGUGCGACACGGGUUUCAAAAUCAACUUUCAAGAUGGAAUAUGUUUAGGAACCAGUAAAGACUCCUCUCAGACUUUCACGGGGCGUAGACAUGGGAAUAUCUACCUCCUAGAUAUCAAACCAGAUAAAGCCCAAUGUCUAAUCUCAAUUCAAAAGGAAGCAAACUCAUGGCACAGAAAACUUGGGCACAUCAACAUGAAGCAAAUAGCCAAAGUCUCAGCAAAGAAGCUUGUUCGUGGACUACCCAAACUGACAUACCAAAAGUCUGAUCUAUGCACACCAUGCGUGUUGGGAAAACAGGUAAGAAAUUCAUUCAAACCAAUAAAUCAAGUAUCCACUAAUCGUGUACUGCAGCUCUUGCAUAUGGAUCUCUUUGGACCAACCAGAACACAGAGCAUUGGAGGUAAAAAAUAUUGCCUAGUAAUUGUGGAUGAUUAUUCACGAUUCACUUGGGUAUAUAUCUUAGCAAGUAAGUCCGAAGCAUUUUCUUAUUUUAUAAAAUUUGCUAAGAAAAUCCAAAAUGAGAAAUGGUAUGUUAUUUCAAGUAUACGAACAGACCAUGGAGGUGAAUUUGAAAAUCAAGACUUUGCUAAAUUCUGUGAUGAAUCUAGCUUUCAGCAUGUGUUCUCUUCACCAUAUACUUCAGAGCAAAAUGAAGUUGUGGAAAGAAAGAAUAGAUCGCUACAGGAAAUGGCUAGAACUCUUUUAAUUGAAAGUAACAUUUCCUUUCGUUUUUGGGCUGAAGCAGUUUCUACAGCGUGCUAUAUUAUUAAUAAAGUCUUCUUAAGGCCUAUUCUGGAGAAAACUCCCUAUGAGUUAUUUAAAUGAAAGAAGCCAAUUGUUUCGUAUUUUUAUAUGUUUGGAUGCAAAUGUUUUAUAUUGAAAAAUGCAAAAUAUCGAGUUGGUAAGGUUGAAGAAAAAUCAGACGAAGGCAUCUUCCUUGGAUAUUCAACCACUAGUAAAGCUUACAGAGUAUUCAACAAAAGGACUCAAUCUGUGGAGGAAUCGAUGAAUGUCAAAUUUCAAGACUAUAUGCAAAAUCAAUCAAUUCAGACUCAACCUGAAAAAUCUGAACCUGCUCCAGACUCUACAAAGUCUAAAUCUCCAGAAGCAACUCAGACUUCAGAAGACCAACAAUAAAUGAUCAUUGAAGAACCAAAUGAAGAAAAAGAUUAACAGUUUGACAAAUCUACCAGCAACUGGAAGCACAAGUCCAGUCAUCCCAAAGAUCUCAUUAUUGGUGAUAUUAAUGAAGGAAUUCGCACAAGAUCCAAAAAGCGUGAAGAGUCUAGUGCCGUGGCUCUUAUUUCUAAAAUAGAACCCAAAAGCAUAGAAGAAGCUUUAACUGAUGAAAGUUGGAUUGAAGCUAUGCAAGAAGAAUUCAGGCAAUUCAGUAUUAAUGAUGUCUGGGAAUUGACUCCUAAACCGAAAGGUAAAUCCAUCAUUGGAGUUAAAUGGGUUUUUAGGAACAAGAUGAACGAGAAAGAAAAAGUGGUAAGAAACAAAGUAAGACUCGUGACCAAAGGAUAUACGCAAGAAGAAUGGAUAGACUAUGAUGAGACUUACGCACUGGUAGCAAGGUUAGAAGCAAUUAGAUUAUUACUUGCUUUUGCUUGUUAUAAGAAUUUCAGGUUAUUCCAAAUGGACGUCAAAAGCGCUUUCCUAAAUGGAUUUAUCCAAGAGGAAGUCUAUGUGGAACAACCUCCCAGUUUUGAAGACCCAAGGAAACUGGAUUUUGUAUUCAGACUAAAAAAUGCUCUAUAUGGUUUAAAGCAAGCACUUCGAGCUUGGUACGACAGACCAAGUAAGUUUUUAAUUCAAAAUUGCUUCGUUAAAGGUAAAAUAGAUACUACACUAUUUAUCAAAAGAGAAAGCAAAAGCUUUUUACUUGUUCAAAUUUAUGUUGAUGAUAUUAUUUUUGGAUCUUCUAAUGAAAAUCUGUACAAGAAAUUCUCUAAGUCUAUUCAGGAUGAAUUUGAAAUGAGCAUGAUAGGUGAAUUAACCUUCUUUCUUGGGCUUCAAGUGAAAUAACUGAAGGAGGGAACUUUUAUUCACCAAGAAAAAUAUGCUAAAGAGCUUGUCAAAAAGUUUCGACUAGAGAAUUGCAAAAAGACUGAUAUACCAAUGUCAAGUGCCUUGAAGCUGGACAAGAUGAAGGAGGAAAGAAAGUUGACUAGAAGCUAUACAAGAGUAUCAUUGGUUCACUUCUUUAUCUUACUGCUUCUAGACCUGACAUUCUGUUUAGUGUUUGUAUUUAUGCCAGAUUUCAAUCAGACCCCAAAGAAUCUCAUUUAAGUGCUACAAAACGUAUUAUCAAAUACAUUGCCUUAACUUCAAAUUUAGGUCUCUGGUAUCCUAAAGAAUGAGAUUUUACUCUUCUUGGAUAUUCAGACGCAGACCUAGCAGGAUGCAGAAUUGAUAGAAAGAGCACCUUUCAAUUGCUUGGUAAUAAGACAAUAUCUUGGUUUUCAAGGAAGCAAAGUACCAUAGCCCUUUCUACAGUAGAAACAGAGUAUGUAGCUCUUGGAAGUUGUUGUUCACAAAUUCUAUGGAUAAAACAAUAGUUAAGAGACAUUGGAAUUGAAGAUUCGUGCACUGAAAUCAAGUGUGAUAACACCAGCGCCAUUAAUCUCACCAAGAAUCCAAUUCUUCACUCAAGAGCAAAGCAUAUAGAGAUUGGACAUCAUUUCAUUAGAGAUCAUGUUCAAAAUGGAGAAGUCUCGAUUCAGUUUAUUGAUUCAAAGAAUCAACUGGCAGACAUUUUUACAAAGCCUUUAGAGAAAAAUCAAUUUGAAGUUAUUCGUUCCAGACUCAAUAUCUUAAUGUCGGAGGAAGUUCAGACUUAGGGCUAAAAGUCUAAAGACACUCAGACUCUAACGAUCAAGAUUCACGACUGUAAGUUAUUUCUAUUUUAGAAAUUUAUCUCUCGGAUAAAAUCUCAAAAAGGUACGAUCAUCUAUUAAUCCAUAAUUGAUUGCUGUUAUAUUCCCCAGUUUUUGUGAUUAUUGCAAUUAUUCCUUUUCGAAAAAGAAGUUAUUUUUGAAAUGACGGUUAUCUAUUUUCAAAAAGGCAAUUAUUUUUUAGAAGACAUAUUUAUUUUUCCUUUUACGUCGUUCCGUAUGCCUCGCUUUGAUUGCUUUAUAUACUGUUGGUUUUUCUCUGUUCUACACACAAAACCCUAAGAAAGCACAUAUCUUCAACCUCUCUUUUCUUCUCUUGUUUAAUCCUCAAAAAGUUUCACCUUUCUUGCGAAACAAGCUUGGAAUCUCUCAAAGACUGUGAAGAAUGUUGUCUCAAAGAAAGUCUUCAAGGAUCGCGAACAGGGGACCACAGCAAAUGCGUGAGGGUCCUACGCAUUUUGACCUCACCGAGGAAGCGGAAUCUCCUAGACAGCAGCAUAGCCCACAACAUUCUCAGCAGCGUCCAUCCCCUCCAUCUAGACCUCAGAAUAUUGAUCAUCGAACAAAGGAAGAAGUCAUCGAAGAUGCAGAACCCGUAAGAUCUCAAAAGCCCGCUUUUAUUUUUAAGCUUACUGUGCUUUGAAGAAUGGUGGUACUCCCUUGAACUAUAUUGAUGAAUUCUUGAAAGAGAAAGGGUAUCAAAAUGAAAUCCACUUUUUACGCACAAUGGAACGAUUGGGAAUUGCUCCCGCGGGGUCAGCAGAAGAAGCAUUGGCAAAUAUCCCAAGCGAUCCACGUGUUGGAGGGCUGAGUCAACCUGAUGGGAAUGAUGAUAAGAAGAUGUACACUCAUUUUAAGCCUAGAAUGGGUGUUGCGGCGAACAUCCGAAGCAAAAGGACAGAUUUGUUUCGCUCGGAGGAACACAAGCGACUGUACUCUAAGUUGCUAAAGCGUGGUGUGAUUAACCCUAGAAGUGUGGACUUUGAUUUUCUUGAUUCCCUAAAUUUUAAGCUGCGAGAGAAAUUCAAUCUUCUUCAACUAGAACGGUUUUCUUCUGAAACGAUAGAGGGUCAUGCUGAACUCACUGCUUACUUCUAUUCUAAUCUAAGCUUCUUGGAUGCGAAUAGAUUCUCUUUCAGUGUUCAAGAUCAGGACUAUGUAGUUGACAUGGAUAUAUUGGCUGAUGUGAUUGGGGUUGAAAGAGGGAAAUUCCAAUCAAUCAGUGUGUCUAUUGGACGUGCGAUGGUAGAGCUUGUUUGGGAUAGAAUGGUGGAAGGAAAGAUUUCAUAUUUUGAGGAUGAAUGCCUCAAAUAUUUUGCUUCACAAGAUAGUAAUCAACUGCCUCAAACCCAAAUCAACUUCGAAGACCGAUGUCUCAAACUCGGAGGCAAAGCUGAUGUAUGCCAUUAACGCUGGCAAGAAGUUCUCUCUUCCACAUACUAUCAUGUUCCACAUGUACAGAACGAUGGUGAAAGACAAGGGACAACUUCCUUACUCAGCACUCGUCACUAAGUUAUUCAGACAUUUGAACAUUCAGCCUCCCAGGAUUCUAUGUGUUCGAACAUGCGAUCAAAUGGUGGUGGGACUGAAAAUGGUCUCCAAAAUGCGUCUGAAGGAACUUAACAAGGCUUUGGAGCGAUUCAAGGAGAAAACCCCUGUCCAGACUCACCCAGUCUCUUUGGCUGCAAAACGGAAAGGGAAGGAGCCCAUGAUUGCUCCAUCCAAUAAAAGAAGAGCACUCAUCUUGGAGGAUGAAGAGGACGAGGAUGAUAUCACAAUUUCUGCUCUUGCAUUGACAGAGGAGAGACAGGAUCAAGACAAGGAAGAGAUCAAACAAAGGAGUGGAGAGAGAGAAUCAAUGGAGAAAGAAGCAGAGGAAGAAAAGAUUGCGGAAGAAGAAGAAGAGAGCAGAGGUGAACAAGAUGAAACAGAGCAUGAAGAGUACUUCUCACUGCCUGAAGGCAAUGAAACAGGGGGAGAUGCUGAGAAAAAAGGUACAUCUUCAAUUGCUGCUACAAGUGACAGAGUUAGUCGUUCACCUGCAGAUCCAGAAGACAUCUAUGCCUCUCAAUUCCCUGAGGAAGGCCAUGAGGUUUCAUCGCCAAAUCUAAGUGAUCGUGCUGACUUGCCAUCAUCUGCUAAUACACCUACAGAUCGUGCAUAAGCCAGUAUUCAGACUGAUAAUUCAGCAGACUUUCGCAGAGUGCUUGAUGUUCUUAUGGAGAUGCGAGGCCAAAUUUAUGCUCUGGGAUGCGAAGUUCAGAACUUGCAAAAUGCAUGUCAAGCCUCUUCAAUUUCUUUACAUGAUCAAAUUCAUGCUCUUACUCUUCAAGUUCAAGCAACUACCAAGGGUGAAGAUGUAGCUCAAUUGAAGGAGGAUUUGAAAAAGCUGGAAGGGAUUGUCCAGUCAAUAGGAGAUUUCCAACUUGUUCUUGUUCCAAAGCAAUCUUAAUUCCAUUCUCUUUCCGUCUCUACCGUUUUAAUGCUGACAAAAAGGGGGAGAGAUGUUGUGCAAAUUUGAGAUUUGAGAUUUAACUCUUGACUUUUUUGAUUGACUUUACUUUUGUUUGGCUGUUUGGUUGUGACUGGUUUUGGAUUUGGAUUGUUUGAUCGUUUAUUUAUUUUAAGCACUAUUGGUAUUUCAUGGCAAAGAUAGUUGCUCAUUUACAGGACUAACUUAUUUCCUGUGGAUGCAGAUUUUAAUGUUAUCUUUACUAAGCCAAUUAUCUUUUGUGAAGAUAUCCAUGUUUGCUUGAGUAUUGUUUUACAGGUCAAAGAUAUCCAAAUCUGCAGGAAAGUUUUGUCACCAUAAAAAAAAGGGGGAGAUUGUUGGAGAAAACUUCUUUGAGUGUUUUGAAGUUGACAAAACGUUUCCAUCAGUCUAGUCUGAUGACUUGCAGACUCUUUUAUCAAAGUCUAAAGACCACUGGACCGCCAGACUCGAGAUUUAAAGUCUAUCCUCAUUGACAGUUUCUAGACCAUCGAAUAAGACUUAUCUAGAACUGAGUAUUUCGUUAAGGAUUUGAUUCUAUCGACUGAAGAAGAUUUCUUGGCUGGAUAUAGCAUCACAGAAUCCUUUAUUCAAAUUGAGAUUGAUUCAGGGAUUUUGGAUUCGUUGAUUGUCAAAGUAUACUUGAAAGGUUCUACUUAUAGAAACCUAGAUCCUGAUUAUAUGGACGAGCAGGAUUGGUGGGCUAUCGUCAUAUUCCUUAAAUAACUCGAAAUCUCCCUAAUUGAUUCUGUCCAACGGGUAGAUUGGAAUAACUCCUUUAGAAAGUACCAACGGGUGUGAUGGCAUGAAGGAGUAUAUAAGGAAGACGUUCUAGUUAUUCGAGUGUGUUCGCGAUAGAAAAAUUCCAAAGUCUGAAGCUCUUUGUUCUUUGUCAAUUCAAUUAUUGAACAAAAACUUGUACUCAAAAGAGAGUCUAUACUUUUGUGAGACCUUGAGGAAGUGAAGCGGAGUCUCUACACUGUGGAAUCAAGGAAGAGCUAUACUGUAACAAUUCUUUUUAUUCUUAGUGAAAUCCAGCCGAUGGGCUAUCGGUGCGGAAGAGUGGACAUAGGCUUGGAUUAAGCCGAACCACUAUAAACCUUGUGUUCUUACUCUCUUCCCUAAGCUCUUUUACUUUGAUUGUAAUUCUAUUUGAUUAUCAGAAGCCUAAUUUCCUUUUCAUAAUCUAUUGCUGAACAGAGUUGGUUUAAAAGUAAAAUUAUUCACUUCACUUUGGAAAAUUUGUUUUUGCACCUAUUCACCCUUUCUAGGUGCUCGUACUAGCUUUUACAAACUUAAGCUUUUAAAACAGUCGGCAGAUGUCUGACAAAAUUUUUCAGAUACAAAUAAGAAAUGCUAUGAAAAGAAAAUAGCAAGAACGAUAGAGAGAUAAAGUAAACACUGGAAAACUUUGGAUGAAAGCUGUCGUAGUCAGUGCGAAACCUUUAAAGAUUUCAUUUUCACUAGCACCUACCAACGUGUUUCUUCUUUCAUGUACCAACCAUUUGAGACGAGUCUAUGAAUGCUUUAUGACCUCUUUCUUGUUAUGACCAUUUGGUAGUUUCAUCUUUUAUAGUUCUUUUAACAAACAAAAAUCUAAAAAUGACUCAGACCACUUAGAUCACGGAAUGAAAUCAAAAUGAAAGCAAGUCGGCAUUCUCGACGUCAAAUUCGUGACACACAAUUGUCACCGAAAUCUUCCUGAUUUGGUUUCGAUUUAGGCCAUGACUGAAUUUGUGGAUCAAUAGUUUUGUGUUGGUGUUCCACUUUCUUUUAUUAUAUGGUCGACUGUUGGUCCUCUGAGUGCUCCACCUUCUUUUUAGCUUGUUCUAUUCUCCCCAAGAUGAUGCACCUCGUGUUUUGCAAAAUUGAUCAUGCAUUUGUCUUUUGACGUGUCUUCUUUCUUCAACACAUCAUAUGCUUACACAUAUCAAUUGCUAAUACUUUUUUACAUGGCGAACCAGCCUCCUUUGCUCAUCCAAGUGUAACUUUUCGGACUACUGCUGCAUUCGGACAGAGGUGAUCAUCCACGUCUUGAUGAAGAGUACAUGACCAAAUCGAUAUACACGUGCAUCGUCCAAAAAUUGUAUCCUCUUGUAUCAGAACCCUCUUCUCAGGGGCAAAUUUCCUCUUAGAAUGGUGCAUGGUAAAAAAUUCGGCAUUGACAUUGAACAUCAAUUGCACCAUGUUAAUUUUAAGUCGAAAUCACUUUUCUCGAGCUUGAUUAAAUGAACCAAGACAUGGUCAAAGUGAACACGCACGAAUUUUAUAUUAGUUAGUCUUGAUCUCACAAAAUCUUACAUUAUAUUAGAGUUGAAGGUCCUGAGUUUAAAUUUUGUCAAGCCCCAUUUGCCUCACCAAUCAAAUAUGUCCAUGCUUAGUACUAGGCAAAAGGAUCAGACUAAUGGUGAAGAGGAGUGCUAUAAUAUUUAUAUGAUAAAUCACAUUUUUAUCUAACAGCUUAAACUUUUAAAAUAGUUGGCAGAUGUCUCACAAAAUCUUUCAGAAACAAACAAGAAAUGCUUUGAAAAAGAAAAUAGCAAGAACAUAGAGAGAUAAAGUAAACACUGGAAAACUUUGGCCGAAAGUUGUGUUAGUCAAUGUGAAACCUUUAAAGGUUUCAUUUUCACUAGAACCUACCAAUGUGUUACUUCCUUCAUAUACCAACCAUUUGAGACGAGUCUAUGAAUGCUUUACGACCUCUUUCUUGUUAUGACCAUUCGGUAGUUUCCUCUUUUAUAGUUCUUUUAACAAACAAAAAUCUAGAAAUGACUCGGACCACUUAGAUCACAGAAUCAAACCAAAAUAAAAGCAACUCGGCAUUCUCAACAUCAAAUUCAUGACGCACAGUUGUCAUCGAAAUCUUCCUGUUUGGUUUCUAUUUAGGCCGCGACUAAAUGUGUGGAUCAAUAGUUUUGUGCUAGUGUUCCACUUUCUUUUAUUAUAUGGCCGACUGUUGGUCCUCUGAGUGCUCCACCUUCUUUUUAGCUUGUUCUGUUCUCCCCAAGAUGAUGCACCUCGUGUUUUGCAGAAUUGAUCAUCCGCUUGUCUUUUGACGUGUCUUCUUUCUUCAACACAUCAUAUGCUUACACAUAUCAAUCGCUAAUACUUUUUUACAUGGCGAACCAGCCUCCUUUGCUCAUCCAAGUGUAACUUUUUGGACUACUGCCGCAUUCGGACAAAGGUGAUCAUCCACGUCGUGAUGAAGAGUACAUGACCAAAUCGAUAUACAUGUGCAUUGUCCAAAAAUUGUAUCCUCUUGUAUCAAAACCCUCUUCUCACCGAUUAAUUUCCUCUUAGAAUGGUGCAUGGUAAAAAAUUUGUCAUUGACAUUGAACAUCAAUUGCACCAUGUUAAUCUUAGGUCGAAAUCAUUUUUCUCAAGGUUAAUUAAAUGAACCAAGACAUGGUCAAAGCGGACACACACGAAUUAUAUGCUAAUUGAAAUCAUAUCUUUGACUUCAAGUAUGGGCGCUAGUUGCAAUAGUCAAAGCUAAACCUUUAAAUCUACAUCAAUUUCUCAAUAUGCAUUUGUAAGGUACAAUACACGCACCCCAGGUUAAUUAGAAAGAGAUGCACGAUAACACUCAAUCAUAUAUGCACCCGAAUCUAGUUCUGGUAGUUUCGUAUGUAAUUCCAUUUUUCUAUUGCUAUUUUUCUAGACCAAGAUCAUAUUUUAGAGUUCGACACGACUUGGCCCUUGUGACUCGACUGUCGCACUUUUACAUGGAUCGCAACUUUGUCUUUUAGAAUUCCAAACAUAGUUUCGAAUAAGAUUUGUUUCCUAUAAUUAGGUGCGAUGUCAUUAUCAAGACAGCACAAGGCUCAGUAGCUUGUUUAGGUUCCUUUUGGGAUUGUGGGUGAGUCUAGGAAGAACUCCAUGGAAGAGAUGAGCUAGAGAACUCGGUCCUUUUUUCUUGUUCAAAAAAAGGACUCGGUCUUGGGGGAAGGGAUGAUUGAUUAAUUUUUCCAACCGGCGUAGAUUAGAUUCAUUGGAUGGUGUGGAUGGCCACUGAUUGUAUGGGGUUGUGUUUUAUUAUGUGAUAAAUAAUUGGGAUUGUCAGAGAAGUUGCUCAAUAUGGCGAGGGACUCACAGACCUUACUCAGUGCCGAUGGUAACAUGUAGAAUGUUCAGCGUUUAUGUUAGUGAUUUUUGGCAAAAGUAAACUUUAUUGACAAAUUGUUAAAAGAUUUAGAAUUGAAUUAGUUAGAUUGAAAAGUUUAAGACUGAAUGAUACAAGUAUAAUAAGCUUAGGACUUUUUUUUUUUUUUGGUAAUUAUCUUGAUUUCAUCACAUCGGUGAGUGCAAAUAAUGUCAAGUUGGGCUAUCCGUUGACUUGUGACUUACCUUGCUGAUAAGAUUAAUGAAGUACUAGAUGGAAUUGUUGUACUCAGGCAAAUGUCCAUUUCGUAGAAGAACAUAUAGGCUUAUCUUUUUUUCCAAUGUGGAUAUCCCUUCGUAAAUGACUCGAUUCUUGCUCACGUCGGAUGAGCUUUUGCGUAUCGACUUAUUAUGAUUAAUUGAGUGAAUUUUUAUAAAACCACUUUAUUCAAAAGAAAAGAAAAGAGAACUUGUAUAAAGCCUAAUGUCUCCUGAGGAGAAUUGAGAAAGUUUAUUGUGGACUCUUUUAUACAUUUGUCAUUGGGGGUAAAUGCCCUCUUGCUUCUGACCAUGGUCAAUGUUGCGACCUCUUUAGAGCCCUCCCACCAGCGCGGAGGUUAAUGGCUGGCAUUAACUCUAGGCUUAGCCCGGGCUUUCCCAAGCUCACCAAUUCGCGACUUAUGGUCCAAGUUUUUAAUUUGCAACAUUUUCAUUUAGAAAUCGUUACUAAUUGAUUUGUGGUGAGUCGAUUAAAAACCCAAGUAAUAUAUUAAGAAAUUUUUUUAUUCAUGCGUAACCAAAAAAAUUAGAUUCGGGGACUUAAUUAUACUAGUUAAUCAACUAAUACUCUUUUAGUACCUAAAAACAUCAAAUAAAGCAUUUGUGUAGCAUUUUAUACCAAUCAUGAGUUUUAGGAUUCAAUUCCUAACCAGAUUAAGGAAAUAGCAAUCCAUGCAUCAUCGGUGCGCAAUUGGAGAAAAGGAAAUGUGCAAACGGCAAUUCGACAUUUACUGUCAAGCAUUUAAGCACAAUUUAUUUUUGUUUUCUUAUAAGGAUUUUCGCAUAUUUUAAGGAACAAACACUCAAAGGCUAUUUUAUAGGUUUUUCUGAUUUUUUUUUUGGAAAUAAUAUUUUUUUGGGGAUUUUCUAUUUUUAUAAAAGAUUAAUAUUAAAUAAUGAUAUAUACACACACACACACACACACACAUAUAUAUAUAUAUAUAUAUAUAUAUAUAUAUAAUAAAAAAAGGGUCGAACUGACCCAAGUCGCCAAUCCCGCAGCCGGACUGGGUGUGAUACGUUAGCCCAGUUCGGUCCCCCAACCACUAGCCCCCUUGCGAAAUGAAAAAGGGACCCGGCCCGAAGAGAAACUAACCCUAGAUUAAGCCAACCCAUUUUUAUCUCCUAUCCAAAGCCCACUUUCAAUUAAAAGAAACGCCCACACAAUUUAAACUAAGCUAAAUCCGGCCCAUCAAAGAAAACCCCUAGCUCAAAAACAAAUAAGAACCGGGUCGGUGAAACCCACAAACCAACCCGGCCGACCCGACUCGCCCCUCUCGCCCAGCUCCUUGCGGCGUCGGCGGGGAUGGCCGAGACAGGUGGCACCGUUAUAAACUAUAUCCUCUAACCACUCUGAGAUUAUUGCUUUAUAUGAAGUUGGAAGAUAGUGUCUUUGGUUAAGAUCGUUAUAAUGCAUAUUCAUAAUUCUUAUUGUUUAAUACCAGUCACAAAUUCUCCUACUAUAAUUUAUGAAGAUAAUGCUGCUUGUAUUGCACAAGUGAGGGAGGAUAUAUUAAAGGUGAUAGGACCAAGCAUAUCUCGCCGAAUUUUUUUUUUAUACUCAUGAAUUCCAAGAAAGUUGACAAAUUGAUAUUACAGAUUCGAUUCAUAAAUAAUCUUGCAGAUCUUUUUACCAAAUCAUUGCCAACGUCAACUUUUGAGAAAUUAGUAUAUGACAUUGGUAUGUGGCGAGUUCACAAGAUGCAAGAUUGACUAGCCCCAGCAAUGGCUAUAUGGCUCAAUUGAGGGGGGAGAUUAUGAACUAUGAAUUGCACUCUUUUUUCUUUUUGUCCGGUUUUUUCCCACAGGGUUUUUCCGGCUUAAAGUUUUUAACGAGGCAAUUAAUGCAUCCAUAAAAUGGAGAGAUCAUAAAAUUUGUGCUCUGCACUCUUUUUCCCUUUUGUUUGGUUUUUGUUCCAUUGGGUUUUUCCGGCUUAAGGUUUUUAAUGAGGCAGUAUCAUUCGAUGCACAUUCGUAAUGAAUACAAUAAAUAUUCAAGGGGGAGUGUUAUGAAAUACAUGAAUGAAUAUUUAUUAUAUUCAUCUUAUCUAAUGUACUUAUUAUAGUACAUUUGUAUUAUACAUUCUAAAUACAUCUCUUUAUACAAUAAACGGUCAUCUCCCUAUCCAAUACAUGUAUCAUUCGAUACAUUGAUAUUGAUAUUAAUAAUAAGUACAUUCUUGUUUUCCUAUAAAUAGGAGUUCAGUUUUUGUUGUAGACAUAACAAUGACAACAGUGAUAUAUUGGAAAUAAAAUUCUCUCGUCUGGCUUUCUCUACUAUCUUUUGUGUUCAAGCUGUCUCUACUCAAUCUCUCUAUUAUCUCUAUUAUAUAUUUACAACGCAAUAUUUUACAACACAUAAUAUUUAAUAUUUUUCGAUAUGAAAACCGUUUUCCCUCACGUGAAGGGCGAUAAGAUGAUGAAAGCAACGUACACAUAUUUGGUAUGCAUUACUGAAACCAAGCUUAUAAUCAAUUCAUGUCAAACUAUAUCUAUAUAAUUCGACCACUAAAAGUGGGAGAUUUGUGAAUGGAGUUAAAGAACACAUUUGAUGCCAACAAUGAAAAUGGUCACUCCUAAUGCAAUCAUUAUCAUUCACCGCCAUGCUCCUGCAGUACAGAUGUUGUAGAAUGGGCAAAUAUCAGAAAACCGAAAACAAGAUAAAAAAUGGGUUCAUCUCAGCUGAGUCAGCUCAUUCUCUUUGAGACAGAAACACCAUUCUUACAACUUGGAAAUUGCAACUUGCUCAGAAAUCAAUUGCAUCCAUCGGGACCAUGCCACUGGGAGAAUUUCCCCCUUUUGAUGGCAACAUCCGAUUUCUUUUCGUAAUAUAUGAUCAACAUGUUGGUUUUUCAGAAUGAUGAUGCGGCCUUUAGCCUUUAAGAAGAGCCGAGUGCUUAUUACAAUCCUUCACCUCCUCUCCCACUUGAACAAGGCCUUUACUGCAGCUCUCGACCGGGCAGAGUACCAAAAGACCCCCUCAGGUAAAUAACAUAAAUCUAGUAAUUGGCAUUAAUAAGAAGAAAACACAUGGAUUACGUAAAUCCCCAAAAAUGACCGACAAAGAGGCGAUGCCAUCAAAGGCUAAUCGGAAAACUAACAAUCCAUGCCAAAGACUAAAAGUGACCACUCUCAUAAGAGGGUGGUCAAACAGAAUUUUUCAAAAUAACUUUCUCAUGUAAUCUGUGAUGGGCUCAACAAAGGUAAAUUGAAUAAAAAAUAAACAAUCAAUGCCAAAACCACUGCUAACUUUUUAUGCUUCAGCAACAAUGAUUAAACUUGCACUCUAUCCUGUGACCAAGACCAAGAAAGCCUUUGAGAUUCAAGCUCAGUUCCUUCACAAUUACAAGCCACAGGAUAUUUCAGGACAACACACUAUUGGCAGCGGAGCUGCAGAGGAAUAAGUUCCCUCUCCGUAAAUUUGCUACUGUUUAAGCAACGGAACAUAUCUUAGUUACUGAAGAAACGCCGUCAAAAGUCAAAAUCAAAAGUCACAAUACAGGGAAACUGGUUAAAAAGAAGCAGCCUAUAAUAUUCUUAUCAAUCCUCUCUAAGUUAAAUGACCAAAAGGGCAAAUUGACUCAGCUUUCAGAGACAUCGAAUGGAUUACUACUGCUUGCUUUAUGGAAGCACUCAAAACAUAGGAAGAGAGAGAGAGAGAGAUACAAAGAACAAAGACACACUCUUCAGAUUUGAGACAAAAAGAGAAUCACACUGCACAUUCAACAAAAAAGGGCAUGACCAGAAGCUUGACAAUCAUUCCCUUUAUUGAAUUUAUUGUUGAAAAUGUUCAUAGCGUAGCAUCCUGUUCUUGUCAUUUACCAAUCCUCCCUCCCUCCCUCUUUACAAGGUGGCUCCGGUGCAAGUAUAAAAGUCAGAUUUGCCAAUGAAGUAUGGAGGCACGAUCUAGAUAGCACUUGUAACAAAUUGAAGCAUCACCAUAACCAUAAAGAACUAAAACAACGAAAGCAGGUGAGGAAAAAGGAACCCUACUGCUCUGUGGGCCAAACCAACCUGUGAUUGAAGAGUACUAACAUACCAAGACUCUAAUGAGUUGUGAACAAAUCUCAUGUUCAGGGACGAAGACUAAUCUUGCUUCAAGUUAGGCCACCUAAAUCUCCAAAAAGUUGGCUGUCUUAUGGAAAAUAACAAGGAAGAUCAUUUUGUUGACGAUUGGCAACAAAUAAUUUUCCAAUUGCAGUAUACAGAUCCUCUGGACUUUUCUUGAACAAAACCAUCAGCUUUGACAUGGACGCUUUUGACAAGGUUUAAUAAAGCUUCAUCCAUUUUACCUCAAUUCUCUCCCCAUUGAUCUAGACAGCUUCGGACUACACCAACAGCUAAGAGAUUCAAUGCUCUUUUCAUUUUUUGUGGGAGAGAUCCGUUUUCCCCUGUGCACUUUACCUUCUAUUUAAGAGAGAAAGCAAAUAAUGAGACACAUAAGGAGACCCUGAAAGGGAGAUCGGUCUGGUUUAGAGUGGUUAGGGAGUCCAUUGACAACAACAUUGCCAUUGAGGGAUCGACAGCUGAUCGCAACAGUCCCUCGAGGUCCAAAGCAUUAAAAAAGACAUUGCUUUCAAGACACGAUAUUAAAUAACAUUCAUACAGAGUGCACAGGUUGAAAAAACCAGAGCGAAAUAUGAAGAGACUAGAUUAAGAAUCCCAGUUGCAUCAAGCAAUUUCUUGAAAGGAACACAUGAAACCCUUGAUCAGUCAAUUCACCGACGAAGAAUACUUCAUCCAAACAUUUACAUUUUUUCUGGCCAGUUACAUGGUAUAUAAGCUUAUAUCCAUAAAUACCUUAUGUACACUGAAUCAUGAAAUUCUAAUAUUCACGUUGCCCCGACGGCACAGACAACCCAAUAUCAUCCACCGAUCGAACCUUAACAAAUAUAGCAUUACCAAGUUAACACACUGUCGUCAAUCUAAUGGGAACCUUCUCCCUCGCGGCAUCACCAACUCCAUCCACCGCUAAACUCCUCAGCAUUUUCUUGAAGGCGAAACGCACGCAAUUCGACAGCGCAAUCCAACACAUGACCUCAUAUACAAAGUCGAGCGCGAAGCCGGAACCGGGACCGAACCCCGACGACGAAUCGUCCUCCCAAUUCGGCCCUCCGAAAUUCCAUCCGCCGCCGCCGCUGGGGCCGAAACCCCCGCCAAACGCGUCGCCGCCGUAAAAUCCGCAGUCCCCAACGUCGCCCCCUUCGUCGGGGAAAUCUCCCGACAGCGACCUCCGCUUCGACCGCCGCUUCCUCCGGACGAGGCGGCGGGGCAGGGUCCUGCAGGCCGAGGAUUUCAGCGAGCUAAGGGGUGAGAUGGACCCUGGGCCCGCGCGGAACGAGAAAAGGGGCUGGAGUUAGGCCCAGCCCCCAAAGCCAACGUUUUCUUGCUUUUUAAAAUAAAAAAAUUAAUUAGUAAUAAUAAUUUUUUUUAAAAAAAAUUUCUAUCUAUCCGAAAUGCAGUAAAAUAAGGAAAAAUAAAAUUUAAUUGAUACAAAUAAUAUUAAUGCAUAUGUGAUGUAAAAAUCCUUUUUGUUAAGGCUGAAUUAGUACCUAAUUUUCCAUAUAAUUCAAUCCUAAAUAUUGAACCAAAAUUUAGGUGUCACCAAUCAAGUCUUAAGAUAUUCUCAUCCUUUCUCUUCAUCAAGCGGCCGAUCAAGGAACAUGAUGCUAGAUUGCUUCGAUCGUAACAUCAAUCCAAUUAUGUAUCUAAACCCUCUAUAGUUAUGUGUUGUAAAUUUAUCCAUAUGAUUCGGUAAAAUCUAUGCCCUUUCUUUCAUGUCAAACUAUAUCUAUAUAAUUCGACCACUAAAAAUGGGAGAUUUGUGAAUGGAGUUAAAGAACACAUUUGAUGCCAAAAAUGAAAAUGGUCAACUCAAGGAAAAUGGAUAUUGGAUCCAGACUAUUUUUAUUUUUUAUUCGCACGUAAAUAAGGGAUAAUGAUACAAAUGAUUCUUGAAAUUUUGGCCAAUGUGCAUAGCUGAAAUUUUUUAUUUGUUUAAUGUGAUCUUUAAACUUUUUACUUGUUUAAUGUAAUCCUUGAACUUUUGGUACAUGUUUAAUAUAAUCCUUAGCAAUAUACAAAUGUCCUUAUCGUUCUUCCAUUAUUCAAGAUCAAAGACAACAUUGAACAUUUUCAUAUAAUUUAUGGAUCAAAUUAAAUAUGUACAAAAAGUUCAAGGAUCUUAUUGAAUAAAUUUAAAGUUCAGAGACCGCAUUGCAUUUUGGGUUACAGUUCAGAGAUCAAAUUAAAUAAAUUAAAAAUUCAGGAAUUAUUUGUAUCAUUUUUCCCGUAAUCAACAUCAACAACAACAAAUCAAUCUAAUGAUAACUCAAUCAGCUUGGUAUUGUCAUGGCUGGGAUCCUGACCGGCCACCCAAAAAAAAAAAAGGGAAGAAAAGGACUUCAUGGUAUUCACUUGAUGUAAGUAGGCAAUAGUUGUAGGAAAGGCAGUAUUCCUGCAUUAGGGUUUUAAAAUUUUGCUCAAUUGUCCUCCCUGAGCUCAGGUCAUCUUAGUUCCCAUUUUUAUAGUGGCCAAAGAGAGAGUUCACAUUACGAUAGAAUUUUAUCAUUGGAGUACACAUUUUGACUGACUUUAUUAAUGUCAUACCCCUACUAACAAAAUAUUCAUUCUUCUAACAUAAAAUACACGUUAGCGUACGUUAUUUUUUCACUUAUUGUCUACAUUUCACUAUUUACAUAUAUACCGAAUGAUAUGAUUGUGUCCUUCUACUUUAUCAUUAACAUAGUACGAAAUAAUUAAUUGGAAGCAAUGAAGGCAUGUCUACCGCAAUGGAUCUCCAGUCGAGUGAGGCACAAGGGGAGAAAGGAGAUCAUUUGCAUUUAUAUUUUAGAUAUGAUUACACGUUGAGUUCUUUGAAGAGCGAUCGAGACUGUUCCAUGGCUCCAUCCUCGAGCAGAAAGAGCACAAAUGGGGCUUUAGAUGGAGUAAUGAAACUAGGCCAAUCUAACCGCGAGAAAAUGUAAAUUGCAAGGAAUUGAUACGCUCCGAAUUGAAGUUAUAUUGAAUAUAACGUAAAAGGAUGAUACAAGGAUAAGGUUGCAAUAAUCAUUCUUGUUAAGCUUUCUGCCAAUUCAGAUUACCAAAAGAAAGUGACAGUGUAAGCUCUAGUAAAAGUUGCUGUGGUCAUUCUUGUCAUGCUAUCUACCAAUUCAGAUGUUGUAUUUGUUGAAAUUUACUACAUUAGAACUGAUUUCGCAAAGUAUGCAGAGGGAACAAAGGGGCAAUAUUAGAUGAAAAACCGCUCUCAUGGAGAAGAGAAUAGCCAUUGUAAAAAGGCCAGAAUUCUCCGAGUCAGCUAGGGAUGAGAUUUGAUGCAAUUUGGGGGGUGGGGAAGUGAGGGAAGCGUCAUAUUGCAUUAUCGUCCAGUUUUCGGCAAUCUUUCUUUUUCCCACUUGAAUUAGCAGCAGCUGACGCGUGAAUCAGCAACAAGUCUUCGUUAUGUAUCAGAUCUUUGAUGAAGUUUUUCAAAAUGUUGGUGUUGAAAUUUGUACCAUGCACCUAAGAGAGAAAUGUUAUGUUUUCAUGUUAUAUGAUUGGGAUCAUAUUACAGAAACUUUUUGACAAAGAGAUGAUAGCCUUAGAAUUAGGACAUCAUAUCUGUAAUAGUUGUAGCAUUGCAGAAGGGUUCAGGACAGAGGGCAGUGAUCCCUCAAGGGGUUUUACUAGUGUAGACUCUCCAACAUAGGGUUCAAAUUUCUGGAGCAUCCAAGCCAAGUUGAGGUGAUCUUGGAUAUCUACCUCAUCAUGCCCCCAGGAGGGACUGGAGCCAUUGGGAUUCCUCUGUUCUGCCUUUUCAUGUUCAUAUGCCAUCCUAAACAUGAUCACGAAAAAUGAAGUUUAGGAAUGAAAUCAUCGGCCCGUUUUUUUCUAAUAAUCUCCAUCAUCAGAUGAACCCUGUUUAGUUUACGGCAUUACUAUGAUAUACGGCAUUACUAUAAUACAAUGCUCACAAUUUAGGACUAUUUACUGUAUGAUAAUUGAUUGUCUCAAAUUGUUCUGGAAAUCAGCAUUUCCAGGGGAACAUCAUUUCGUGCAGGUUGAUCAAAAGGAGGAGACUUAUGCCUACCAAUGGACAUGUCAAAUCCGUGCUUUUCGAGCUCACAGUACUCCUGGGUUAAAGCACAGGAUUCGCAGCAGAAAUGGACUAAGCAAUCGGCGCAAGGAUCCUCUUGCAGCUGGUAUUGCUGUCUCAUCUUGGUGCGGUAGAAGCAGGAGUAGCAGCAGCGCACCCGGUCAACAAGGCGAUCACUGUGUAAAUAGCUCCGUGCACAGGGCAUGCUGCAACAAAAACCAAUCCGAGUGAGCAAGUCUAAUAAUGUCGAUCCUUCUUCAAUUCGUGCGAAUGCGAUUUGCCCGAAUGUGAUGCAGGGGCACCAAAAUGACAAGCAACCUGUGAGAUUAACAAGAUAUCAACCUUCAUGAGCCAUAGAUAACACCAAUUUAUCUCUGGAUCCACUUAAACUCAACUAAUACCAAAGUGGUAUAAGAUCAUUCGAUGGCUAAAUUCUGAUAACCCCGCGACACUAGGCAAUUGCAAUUGGAUUCUCCAGUCUAUAAACUGUCCGACUUUUGCUCGUAGAUGUCGCCCAGUAGUUGUAUACAUGGCAUAACUGUUCUAUCAAGUGUUAAUCCACCUCAAAACCAAAUGGAUUGCGAGGAAAAUUCCGGAGGACUUGCAAGUUGGAACGUCGUCGAAGCAACUGAAAAGCCCAGAGGACCAAGGCAUGUUGUUAAUGGGUCGAGCUUGAAGACCCGCAGGGGGCAGAGGAUUGUUCGGGGCCCCAAAAUUUGCAUAACUUUGGUUCAUGGGUUGCACCGGAAUGCCAUCCACGGGUGGUGGCGGUGGCGAAGCGGAGGCACCGGGCUUCUGUGGGUAGCCAUCAGAUGCGUUCGAGGAGUGCAUAGCUUCAAUCCAGCGAUCAAAGAAGGACGACACGACACAGCGAAAGAUCGAACGAGGAAGUGAAUCGGGCAAGGGCUAGAGAGGGUUGGAAGAUGAGAUGUUAGGUGAACUGCACAUGAUGUAUACGUCCUAUUUCUAUGCAUCUAACACUCAUAUAUUUGCGUAAAAGAGGGUUUCGUCAGCGAAUGCUUUCACCAAAAGCGGCCGUGACCAAGCAAGUCGUUGAUCCGCCUUCGAAUCUGUUUGCUGGUCGCGGCAAUGACGAAGCGCCAGCUUUGACCGUUGAUGGUUAGUUGAAAAGUAAAUGCCUUGUUUAAGCUCUAAGCCAUCGUCGUGCGAUUAAACUACGUAUAGACUUAUAGUUUAGCGCGGUGGGCAACGUUGACAGUGGUGUAAAUUGAGACGAGGUCAGGCAGUUUCGUAUGUAAUUUUGUUUUUUCUAUCGUGAUUUUUUUGGACCAAGUUCAGGUUCUAAAGUUGGACGCGACUUCGCUCUCGUGACGCGACCGUCACACUUUCACACGGAUCGCGACCUCGUUUGUUUCUAGAACACCGAACGUAGUUUCGAAAGGGGUUUGUCACCUAUAAUUAGGUGCGAUGUUGUUAUCAAGAUAGCACAGGGCUCAGCAGCUUUUGUUACGUUCCUUUUGGGAUUCCGAGGUGAAUGUGGGGAGAACUCCAUGGAGGAGAUGGGUUAGAGAACUCGGCCUUAGGUGAAGGGAUAACUGAUUAAUUUUUCCGAGCAGCCUAGAUUAUAUUUGUUGGAUAGUGUGGACGGCCAUUGAUUGUAUGGGGUUGCGUUUUAGUCUGUGAGAAACGGAUUGGGAUUGUUGAGAAGAUGCUCGAUCUGGCGAGGGCGUCGUGGCUCUCGCCCAGUGGCCAUUGACCCUUGCUCGGUCUCAUUUUUUUUUAAAUAAGAAAAAAAUAUUUAAAAAUUACAAAAUUGUUCACGUUUGUGCCGGUGGUAUCAUGUAGGAUGCUCAACAUUCACAUUAGCGAUGUUUGGCAAAAAUUAGUUAUAUAGACUUCAUUGGUAAAUUAUCAAAAUAUUCAGAUCUCAAUGGAUCAAAAUUGUAAGAUUUAAGACUGAAUUGGUAUAAGUAUAAUGAGUUUAUGAUUUUUUUUCCUAUUUUCAUCACAUCAGCAAGGGCAAUAAUGUCAAGUUGGGCUAUCCAUCGAGUUUUGACUCGCGACUUACCUUGCUGAUUUGAUUAAUGAGGUAUUAGGUGGGAUUGUUUUACUUAGGCAAAUGUCCAUUUCAUAGAAGAACAUAUAGGCUUAUUUUUAUUUUUUCAAUGUGGAUAUCCUUUCGUAUAUUGACUAGAUUCUUCGCUCAUGUUGGAUGAGCUUUUGCGCAUUGACUUAUUAUGAUGCGAUUGAGUGAAAUUUUAUGAAGCCACUUUAUUCACAGGAAAAAAAAGAAAAGAAAAGAGAACUUGUAUAAAGCCUGAUGUGUCAUGAGGAAAAUUGAGAUAGCUUAUACAGGGUAAAUGCCCUCUUGCCUCUGACCCUGGUCACGUCCUAAUAUGUUCUCCUCCUUUCUCUUCAUCGAGCAUCUGAUCGAGGAGCGCGACGCCAAAUUGUUCCGAUCGCAACAUCAAUCCAACUAUGUAUCUAGACCAUCUAUAGCUUGGUGUCGUAAUUCAUGUACGUGAUUUCAUAAAAUGUAUACCAUUUCCUUCUUCGAGAAGGACAAACAACAAAACUUAUGCUGAUAGAUCGUGCAUGUUACCAUUUGCUUUAAAAGUGAAAGCCGAUGGAGUAUGAUGCAUAUAAUAUCUUUUCGAUAUGGUAACCGGCUUCUCCCAAGAGAAGGGCGAUAAGAUGAUGAAAGCAAUGUGCACAAAUCUGGUAUGGAUUGCCGAAACCAAGCUUAUAAUUAAUUCAUGUCAUGCUAUAUCUAUAUGAUUCAACCAACUAAAAGUGGGAGUUUGUGUAUGGAGUUAAAGAAUACAUUUGAUGCCAACGAUGGAAAUGGUCAACUCAAGGAAAAUGGACAUUGGAUCCAAGCUAUUUUUAUUUGCUAUCGACAUGUAAACAAAGGAUAAUGAUACAAAUGGUUAUUGAACUUUGACUCGAUGCGCAGUUUAAUUUCCCUGAACUUUUAAUUUGUUUAAUGUGGUUCCUAACUUUAGCCAAUUUGUAAUGUUGUUCCCGAGCUUUUAGUACAUGUUCAUUAUAGCUCUUGAACUAUACACAAAUAUUCAAUGUUGUCCUUUUAUUAAUUUAAUAUUAGUGACUACAUUGAACAUAUAUAAAAAAUUUAGGGACUGUAUUGCAUAUUCAGCUAAAGUUUAGGGAUCGUAUUGUAUAUUGGACAACAACAACAAUAAAAAAAUCGAUCUAAUGAUAACUCAAUCAGCUUGGUAACUCAAUCAGCUUGGUAUUGUCAUGGCCGGCAUCCUUGACCGGCCACCCAGAACUUAGGUUAUCUUAGUUCCCAUUUAAAUCAUGGCCAAAAGAGAGAGUUCACAUUACUAUAGAAUUUUAUCAUUGAAGUAUGCAUUUCGACCGAAUACAUUAUCGUUAUACCCUGUUUAGCAAAAAUCUCUUAUAUUAGUAAAAGGCUAGAAUUUGACCAAGUCAGCUAGGGAUGAGAUUGAUGCAAUGGCGGGGAAGCGAGGGAAGCAUCACAUUGCAUUAUAUUGUCCAGAUUUCGGCAAUCUUUUUUUCCCACUUGAAUUAGCAUUAGCUGACAUGUGAAUUGGCAACGAGUCUUCGUUAUGCCUCAAAUCUUUAUUCAUGAAGUUUUUUCGAACUGUUGGUGUUGAAUUUGGACCAUGCACCGAAGAGAGAAAUGUUAUGUUUUUAUGUUAUAUGAUUGGGAUCAUAUUGCGGGAACUUUUUGACUAGGAGCUGAUAGCCCUAGAAAGGGACAUCAUGUCUGUAGUAGUUGUAGCACUGCAGAAGGGUUUAGCAAAUGGCUUUGUUUUACGUUUGAGGAUUUUGCUAGCUUUAAUGUAAUAAAAAGAGUUCGUUACGUACAUAAGCUACUGAUAUAAUGUUUCUAAUUAUGAAGAGAGGAACUUCUACGUUUAUGAUACAGAUGUAUGUCUAUCUAUCGAAUGUGAUAAAUUUCUUCAACUCUCACGAAUGCUACUUAAUGCUUGGGGUUGUGCUUGAGGCUCAUAUUUGGUAAUCAACUCUCCUACAGCAUGUCAUAUACAUAAUCAAACUUUACCUGUUGACUACAAGAAGAUCAAAGAAGCUGCUCAGAUUUCAUACCAAGGUUAGCAUGGAAUCAUGUAUUGAAUAACUGUGAGCAUGUGUUACUGUGCUUACUAAGUAGAGAGAGAGAGGUUAGCAUGGAACCAUGUAUUGAAUAACUAUGAGCAUGUGUUAUUGUGCUUACUAAGUAGAGAGAGAGAGAGAGAGAGAGAUUCCUAUGCUGGUCCUAAAAGUAAGUACCUGAAAAGCUUUUUUGAACUGAAGCGUGGUAAUCAUCCCUAAUAUCAUAAGCUUUUCAAUGAUCUUAUCUAUUGCUUGAAAGUAAGAUAUCCUCCAAGACUGCUUGAAAUGCAAUGCACUACAAAAUCCCAAGAAUCCAAUUGCGAAUCCCGGUCCCAAGCCCGCAUAGAACCAAUUAUGGAUGUCCAGAUUGCCUUCAUUAGGUUCACCUCUAUUUUGAAAAUCACCAUCUUGUCCAUCGAUAUCAGGAUGUUGCUCAUCUCCAGGGCAAACUUUUGAAAGAGGAGCUCCACAAAGUCCAUCGUUACCAUGAUACACAGAUUCAUCAUCCACGGUAUGUAGAUGAAUGCUUGAAGGAAUAGGGCCUGAUAAAUUAUUGAAUGAGAGAUUGAGACAACUCAGAGCAUCCAUGCUGGAUAUGCUAAGGGGGAUUCUACCCGAAAUCUUGUUGUUGGAUAGGUCAAGGGAUUCUAACCUUUUGAGGUUGCCAAUGUUUGUAGGGAUUUGCCCACUCAAAUCGUUUUGAGAGAGGUUCAAAUUCUGAAGUUGGACGAGCCUAAUCAACUCUUUUGGUAUUUCGCCAUUUAAAUUGUUUGCAGAUAAGUCAAUGGAAUGGAAGAAUUGGAGUGUCCUGUCGUAUAGUCGGGUAGUUCCCUUUGCAUGAACCAUGACGUAAAAGAUUGGCGGAUCUGACCAAAGGGAGUCUGUCGGAUAUAUGCCUUCAACCAUAGAUAACAAUCCAUUAAAACACAGCGGAAUGCUUCCGGAAAUAUUGUUCCAUGCUAGGCUUAAAAACUGAAGAAAAUCAAGUUGGCAGAGUUGCGUGGGAAUGCCUCCGGUGAGACUAUUGUUCUCAAGAUUGAUGAUGCCUAAUCGUCGAAAACGUCGUCCAAAUGGAGGAAUUUCACCAGUGAAGUCAUUAUCACUUAGAUCAAGGAGCAGAAGGUUAGUUAGGCUUGACAAACAUUGGGGAAGCACUUUGUCGAAGCCAUUUUUAUGCACGUUCAGAACUGCUAAUUGCUUAAAAUGGCAGAAAGAGUUAGUAAUCUGACCUCUUAACCUGUUGUCACUCAGCGAAAUCACUUCCAAAUAUUUCAACUUUUUCAGACAUACGGGUAGUCUCCCGGAUAGUUGGUUCUUUGACAGAUCAAGAUAUAAUAGUCUCUCCAUCGCACAUAGUGAAUUUGGUAUGCUACCGCUGAGACUGUUACUAGAAAGCAUAAGAUAUUCUAACUGUGGCAUCUUGUUUCCGUCCAUUCUGGAAAUGGGGCUUAAAGAGGGUAGUCUCCCAGAUAGUUGGUUAUUUGACAGAUCAAGACAGAGUAGGUUCUCCAUCGCCCAUAGAGAAUUCGGUAUGCUACCGCUGAGAUUAUUACCAGAAAGCCCAAGACUUUCUAACAGUGGCAUCUUGUUUCCGUCCAUUCUGGAAAUGGGGCCUUUGAGCAUAUUGUUACUGAGAUCAAGAUAUUAAACGUUGAAUAAAAUGUCGGGAAGCCAAUUGGGAACUUCAUCUGAGAUGUUUGCAUUGGACAUGCGCAAGAAUGAAAUAUUCCUCUGUGUUCGAAGCCACAAUGGAAAUUUCGGUCCCACAUCAAAAUAUGACAUGUAAAUAUAUUGAAGUUGGAAUGGAGGAACCCAGGCGGGAUCAAAACUUAAAACAAGUUCAUUAGAUGAAAUGCCCAAACGAGUCAGGCUCGUGAGAUUUGCAAAGUGCAAUUCACCAACAACUCCGUCCAAUGAAUUAUGUGAUAUGUAAAACGUCUCUAGUCUAGAUAGUCGCCCAAUACUUUGCGGGAUGUUUCCACUCAAUUUGUUGCCCAUGAGUUGUAACUCUCUUAGAGAUGAUAGCUCCCCCAAAGUUACCGGAAUAGGUCCUGACAUUGAGUUUCCUGACAGACUUAGGUACUCGAGAUCCCUGAAACUCCCAAAUUGGUCUGGUAUAUGGCCACUGAAAUUAUUUCCACUGAAAUCACAAAUCCUCAAGUCACUUUGUGCCGACUCCAAAGGACCAUGGACGAUGCUCCCAAGAUCUCCAUGGAAGUUAUUACCCGCCAAAUUUAAUACACGCAACUCGUAGAGGCUGCUGAAGUUUUUCAGAAUUUCACCUUCUAGCAAAUUAUAAGACACAUCAAGAAAGGAAAGUUGUUGAUUAUUAUCAAAGAGUGUCCUGGGAAAUGUGCCUUUCAAAGAAUUUCCGCUCAAAUCGAUAUGCUCGAGCUUGCUAAAGUUGUGGAACCAAGGAGGAAUAGUAGAAUUUAUUAAAUUCCAUGAUAGAUCUAGGAAUCUUAAAGAAGUGAAGUUGAUGGAUAGAGAGUGAGGAAGUUUUUCAAGAGAACAAUACUUCAACUGCAAAGAUUGCAGUGAAGAAAGCAUAUUAAUGGAACUCAACCAAUCUUUGGCUUUCCUAAGGUCAAUGAGAGCGAGGUGAAAGUAUUUCAAGGAAGAUAAUUUCGACACCCAUUGAAGGUUAUCACUUGUUAAAUAACCCUCGCCAAACUCACUGGCAAGAUCCAGAUACCACAAGUUGGAUAGGUUACCGAGGUGAUGAGGUAUGUUUCCAUCAAAACCUGCGGAUGAUAGAUUAAGAUACUCUAGUCUCUGGAGAGUACCGAAGAAUUGGGGGAUUUUUUGCAUGGAAAAAUUGUUGAGGCUAAGGUCUAGAUACUUCAAAUGCUUCAGUUCAGCCAAAGAUGCAUGGAUUUUACCUGCCAAGCUGCUCUUAUCUAGACAAUAUCCGUCGGGGGAGGUCUCAAAGCAUGGAUUACGAAGAUCGAGUUUGAAAACAUGGCCAGUCUUUUUGCUGCAUUGGACUCCUUUCCACUCACAACAGUCCUUGCUAGUCCACGAUGACAAGCGUUUAGAAUGGUCGAUGAGACCUUGCCUGAAUUUCAAGAGAGCUUCUCUCUCUGUACCAAAGCAGCUCACAUUGGUGAAAGCUUCGGAAUGGCCAAACUCAAAUGAUUGAAACACGAGAAGAGUCCACAAUAUGAGGGGUGCAAAGGCAGGGGCUGAUGCCAUUGCUCUCGAUAAUAUGGGAUUAGGAAAUGCAGUGUACUUCCUCCGUUUUAUGGUGACAUGGGUCUUGGGAAGGUCUUAAUUGAAUUUCAUCAAGAAAAGGACAUUACUCGUCCCCUACUUAUUUGAUUUGGCCAUCACUCUCAAUCAACGUUGUCACACCCCGAAUCCUAAUAGAAAAAGGGAAUGAUAUAGUUGUCAUUCGGAUUCUAUGCAACAAACAUAUUUAUUAAUAAUUCAAAAUAUAUCAAAUCUUCAUCAUUUUAAGAUGUGAGUUUACAAAUUCAUAGAAUAGAUAGCACAAUUUAUCUCCAAAUGCCUACGACCAAACAACAAACAUUACUCAAAUUGUCAAAUUUGUGAUUCUAUCAAAUAAUCGAGAAACAACGUUAAAAUCAAGUAAAACACUACCUCAACUACAAAAUGGUGAAACUACACCUAAAUUCUAACAAAACAACUUAUACGUACUAACAAAUCAUAUAUCCAAAACGAUUAUUCAAGCCAUUCGCAAUGCUAAACUUGAAUGCGAAAUCCUAAAAUUUCGCUUCAACUAAACCGUUAAUUCAAAUAAACUUUCACGAAAUCUCAUGGUUCUACAACUGACAUAAUUUAUAUUUUCCAUGAAAUCCCGGAGCUCCACAGCUCAAGAAUCGAACUUUGCAGCUCAAUUUUCACUAAAUUUUAACUUUGAGCCAUAAUUAUGAAAACUACUUUGAUUAGAUAGACAAAAGGCACAAGCACUUACCGGAUGUUGCGAUAUGAAGUCGAAUCAGCUUGGCGAAGCACCUAUGGUGUGCGCAAAAUCCUCUCUCUUUUCCUUCUUCUUUCCCUUUUUCACUAUCCUUUUCUUUCCGUUUGUGUGGUCUCGGCCAGUCUCUAAAAGCUGAAGGUGUCCACUAUUCCUUGUUUUUGUUGACUCAGUCAACUUCGUCUUUUUUUCUUUUUCUUUUGCUUUGAUCGAGUCAAAGUUCAUAUUUACAAAUGCGAUGAAAGGCCGCCAUGUUCUGGAGAUGCCUUCCGAGCCAGGACCAACCAAUCACCAGAGUGCAGCCAAAAGCCUAAGUGCCAUCUUCUGCAGGGUACUGGACAGGAGUAUGAGAGUCAAUGGUCAAAAGUUUGAUUGAUAAUAACGUGUCAAUGGACAUGUCGAAUCGACUCCUUUCGAGCUCCUAAUUGUAUUAUCAAUUUCAUCCGGUAGGCGCAGUCCGCGCUAAGAGUUCGAUUAAGUAUAAGACUUUUCGGGCGAGUAUUGAAUUGUCAACUUAUAAAUCCUUUCAUAGCAUUGUUUGAUGUGUGAUUCUUUCCGUUCAUUUGGUCUUUAGUCGAGGGAAUUUUAGUGGACUUGCCGUCACCGCUCUCCCCGCAAGACAUGAAUCGUACCAAACCUACAUAACAUUUAGGAUAGAUUUCUCUGUUUAUUUAUCGCAACUUCUUACCCAGCCUCAAACCUUCUACAACCACAAAUGAAUCCUUGCUCCCAUCUGUCGAUUUGAUAGAGUGCAUAUGAGUCAAGUCUUCAAAAGAGUUAUCAAUCAAGACAUCGGGGAGUUAAAGGCGAAUGGACGUCGACUUUUGAUGCAUAAAGGUCAUGCACACUUUGGCGGACCUAGGAGGCUCAUGGCAGCCUCCGCCCCUCAUAGGACGAAAUAUUUUUUUAUAUAUGUUAUUUAAAUGAGAAAAUUGCAUCUUGCCUCAUUCUCUUAAAUUCUCAAUUCGCCAUUGCACGCACAAAAUAGGGGUGAUCAGUUUUCGAGUGAACCAAUUCUCAUCAUAAAAUAAAGAAUCGCCCACGAAAAACCAAUUCCACAAACUAGGAAUCAGGAACAAUACACUAGUUCCUGAACCCACCUGGGAAGGACUACUAAUCUGAUUCAAAUUCCGAGCGAGUCCAUCGAACCAGCUUUGUGAUCACCACCACAACCUAGAACCUGGCUAAUAACUUUCAAGAAUCUCACCAACUAAGAUUUUCAAGACAGCAACAAGGGAACAAGGCACACGAGCAAUAUCAUCACUUCUUCAUCUGAUUCGUGUAGAAUAGAUUGCUCAUCACCGAUUCGUGUUAUGAGCGGUGAGCAAAGCGGCAAGCCAGAGAGAGAGAGAGUGGCGAGCAAGGUGGCAAGCCACAGAGAGAGAGAGAGAGAGAGAGAGAGAGAGAGAGAGAGAGAGAGAGAGAGAGAGCUACAAGGCUAUGAGAGACAAGCCACCUUUUCAUCUAAUUCGUGUAGAAUAGAUUGCUCAUCCCGCCAAUUCGUGUCGUGAGCGGUGACCAAGGCUGUGAGCCCGAGGGAGCGAGGGAGUGAGGGAGCUACGAGCUAUGAGAGACAGGCCAAAGGAACUUGCAAAGAUUUUAAACAUAAAAUUAAUUUAUAUACAUAUAUAAGUCCGGAUGAGUGGGUUUAUACCCGGAACUGAAAAUUGGAUCAAUAUUUACAAGUCCCAAUUUAUUUCAGAUCUUGAUUCGGUUCUUUUGCAUACCGCUAGCACAAAAUAUGGGUGAACUACACUUUUGCAAUAUGGGUUUAUACGAUUCUGUGAUUGCACUCUCUGUCUUGUGCCCAACUUGUCCUUUUAUGCAUGCUCGCACAAAAAGGAUAAUGCAUGAAAGGAUAAGUUAGUCGACGGCCACCACAAGCUCACUCCCCCGAUCCAUCGUUGUCGGUCAUGCUCGCAUUCCAAUUCACUACCUCAAUGCAUUGGAACUUUCCUCCAUGGCUUGAGUACGAAGUUUUGAGACAUUUUGGCAUGGUUUCUUGGCCUGUUUGGCAGCUCAUUCAGAUAAUUUUGUAUGUGUCGGGCCAAUAGAAUGAGUGACAAAACAUAUCGUGCGCAUCAGGCAAGAUUGGUGGAAUAAACAAAGAUUUCAAGAAAAAUAUAAGGAAAAUUAUCUAAAAAGUCCCAAACAUAUUGCAUUUUUGUCAAUUUAGUUCUAAAUUUUUCAAUUCUGCCAAUCAGGUUGUAAAUAUUUUCACUUCAGGACAAUUAAAUUUUAAACAUUUUAACUUCUUACAAAUUGAGUCCAUUUGGCCAAUUUGGCCAGAAAUUACUGACGUGAAUAGUUUGGCGCUGACGUGGCAAUUUUAAAAUAAAUAUUGAUUUUUUUAUUUUUUUAGUCGGCCGGUGAGGGUUGGCCGGCAAUCCUUGGUAGCCCUAGAUCCAACUCCACCCCCCCCCCCCCAAAGCUAAAAAGUAAAAAAACAUAAAAAAAAAUCAAAAUAUAUUAAAAUAUUAUGAAAACAGUAUCGGUAAUUUUCCAUCAAAGUUGGGCCGGAUAGACUCAACUAGUAAGAAGUGAAAAGAUUUAUAACUAAAUUGGUAAAAUUGAAAUGUUUAUGAUUGAAUUAGUUAUUUGGUUAAUUUUCCCGGAAAAUACAAAACAGGAACAACCUUUGAUUGAAACAUGGUAGAGUUUCUACGUUUGGAAGUCCUGUAGAUGACUUUUUCCUAACGUGCGACUGCGUGAUGUAUCACCAAUAUAAAAGCGACAUAUGUAUUGUGCAUAGGACAAAAUUUGACGGAAGAAAACCAAAAUGAUUCACACUAUAUGCCAAAAAUUACUGAAAAAGCCAAAAUGGAAAACUGUACGAGGCGUAUAAAUAACGAUAAUCGAGGGGGUUGAUUUAUGACUUCCUGAUUGGCUAGCAUCUCGGUAAGGGAGAACAGAAGUGACGUGCUCUCUAAAACUCGGGCCUUCGAGUCCUGGAUAUAUGAAGCAGAUGUAUCUUGCCUCAAUUCGCAACCGUAGGGGAUUAUGGGCGACUGUGUUAACGCAAGAGAGAGCCGCUAGAGUUAGCCGGCCAUCCCCAGCCUUUUACUUAUUAGAAAAAAAGGAAAAGAAAAAAAAAAUCGUGCCCUAAUAAUGGGAAGUUUCAACUUCUCUCCAGGAUUUGAUUUUAAAUUAACAUCAUGCUACUGAAAUUCACUAGGAAACAAAAAGACCAUGUACUGAAAAAGAAUUACAAAAGUGAGCGGACCUUGAGAAGACGACAUUAACCUCCACAAAAAGUUACGAGUUAACAUAAAAAAAAUCAUAUUAGUAUAUUUAUAAUAAAUUUACGUCAAACUAAUUUUUCAUCACAAAAUAUACCAAAUUGGUAUACUUAUGAUAAAUUUAUCCAAGAUUAACUUUUUUACCACUAAAAACCUCAAUCUCGUAUAUUUGUUAGAAAGUUGCCAUUCAUUGAUUUCCAUUAAAUUUGAUUAUUAUCAUAAAAAAUCACAAAUUAAUACACAUGUAAGAUAUGGAGGGUAAAAUCUUAAAUUUGUAUAUCUGUCAACUGCCACAUGUUAUCAAACUCAGCAAUUUGAAUGUAAAAUUUAAUGGCAAUUAACUAAGAAUAAAUUUGUUAUAUAUAAACAUGUUUGGAACUUUUUGUGGUAAAAAAAAAUAGUUUAUGAUAAAUUUGUCAUAGAAUUACCAAUUUCGGAAUCUUUUGUAAUAUUAACCCAAAAGUUAACAUUUUGAUUUAAAAUAGACGGAUUCCUACUACAAUAUUUUUUUUUUGGGUAACCGAGGAUUCGUUUUCCUCCGCCAGGCUUACGCACCGAGUAAUUGCGACUAUACCUCGAGGGGAUUAGCAUAGGAACCCACCAUCAUGUGGCCCCCUACUUAAAGGGUGAAAUCGAACUAGAGAUUUGAACUCUUGACCUCAAUGAUUUGGAAGGAGGGACUCUCCUCACCAACUCGGCCAUGCGCCUCGGUGGGUUUCCUACUCCAAUAUUGACGACAACAAUAUUGAAUAUUUUCAUAUAAUUUAUUAAGCGACAAUAAUAUUAAAUAUUUUCAUAUAAUUUAUUAACUAAAUGAAAAAUGUAAUACAAUUUAAAAAUUCAGGGAACGGUCAAAAGUUUGUAGACUAUAUUAAAAAUUGAAUAAUGUCAUUUUUCGGGAUUAUAUACAAGCACGACGUGGUUUGGCAUCGUUUUCCCUAUGAUGCGUGCUCGGCGGGGAACGGUCCCCGUUCACUGGUGUCACGCCCACAGAUGACACGUGGAGGACAAAGCUUGGAAGAAUGGACGAAAACUUCUUCGACCCGUUCCUCUCGCCGGGUCAACAGUCUUGCGGUUGACUGCGGAGUCCCCGAAGGCCAGCGCCAGCUGUCCCCUUCGCUCGCCGAACACGGCAACGGUGGACCUUUCCCGAUGGUUACCCUACCGCCCGAAAGGAGUCCGAGGGCAAAUAAUUCACGUCGUUUCGCAAAGCUUUCUCAGUUUCUCUUUUGCUGAUGAAACUCGUCUUGCUUUUUGCUCUUCGGUGUGGGGUAUAAGUCUGUACGCAUAUCAAGGCUGCAGUAUCUUCAAGACUUCAGUUCUGCUGCAUUAGCUCUUUGUUCUCGAUGCUGAGACAUCUACAUUCAAUUGCUCUUUUGCCGAGCUCCGGGUCGUUCCAUAUGCAAAACCCGACGCCCGCCUCGCUGCGAAUCAUCCCAUGACCAAAGCUACAUAUAAAGAUGUAACGAACGUGGUUUUAAAGAAGAGAAUGCAGAGUUAGACCAUAUAUAGUUUGGCCAGCCCUAACAUCUCCUCCCACAAUCGGCUCCGGUCGAAGCUGUCGGAAACUUCACCGGGAGUCCACAGUGACAACGCCGGUGGUUAAACUCUUGUUCCAUGAUUUUCGUGAUCGAAGGCGUGCAGAUGAUGAGCGAAUGCUCAUCUAGAAGAUCGAUUCUUUCUCCUUUCAGUCAAUUCUUUAGGUUUUAAUUCGAGCUAAAAAUUUUAGCAUCGAACAUUGAUUUUUGGAGCUCCAAUUUCUACAUCGCAAGGCUCGUCCAGCAGCCUAGGUCAACAAAUUUGUCCAGUUCACGUCGGUAACUUCCCUCCAUCAGCUUGACAGAAAGAUGCAGUUGAACAAAUAAAAACGUAGUUCAUGGUAGUGCGAUCGAUGAGCGGAUCGAGUUGGUUAAAAAAUUGUUCGACCCAAAUUGAUUAACAAAUUUAGCGAUAAUUACAUGUCUUGUCCCGUAUUACUAAUACAAAUCCAUAUUUAAUCAAACCUAUGAAAAAACCGAAUUCAACUAGUUAAUUCACUUUAAGCUUUUUACAUAUAUAUGUUAUAUGGAUAAAAUCGUUAUUUCAACUAUAAGAUGUUAAAGAAUCGGUUUUCAACAUUCCAUAUAACUGUCAAUAUUUAUAUUGAUUUAUAGUGAAGAUUUAGAGAAUCUUAGUACUUGGUAGUGAAUUUAUAAAAUUACAACAACAAAUAACUUGAAGGAAUUGAAAUUUUAAUUAAAUGGAAUGUAAGAUAUUGGAUAAAAUGAUUUAUACCUACCAUGUUUGCAAUGACAAGAACUAACAUUAGAAUAAUAUGUAAAAAUACCAUAGCCAAAUGGGGCCAAAGCAAGAUAUGCUCCAACAGCUUACUUUUGAAACUUACAAGAUUACUAAAAAUAAAAAUAAAAAUGGGGGGAAAAAAGAAGCCGUUUUAAUAUUUAAUAAGGUUGAAGUCGGGUCCUUGCGAUCAAGACUUUACUGAAAUUGAAACAAUAUGAGGGGUUCGUUUUCUCAUAGAGAAUGAAGAGAGAGUUUAUAAAGAUAGGUUUGAUUUGAGUAAAACAUAUUUAACAUUCAUAUUAAUUUAGUUUUGUCAUUUUAAACUCAUACAUAUAACUAAUUAUUUGAAUAUAAUUGAUCCAUGUAAUGACUCAACCGAUCAAAUAUAGGUUAAGAAAUGGGUCUACAACUUAUUUUAACAUGUUCAGUUCAAGGGCGUAAUUACAAAACGGUUAAGGGAUGUAAUCGCAUAAACCGAAAGAGUUCAAAGACCUUUGGUGAUUUGACUCACGCACAAGAAGAAUUCAAGUAAAUUUGCUUUUGUGAUUAAAAAUGUUGCAAUAUAAUGCGGAAGGUAAUAGGAUCUUACAAUUUAGUCAAUGUGAAAUCAUCGGAAAAAUAAAUAACAGACAAUUAAAAUCAUCUGAAAUUACGUGGUUUAGUCCAAAUAUUAGUACUUACUUCAUGGUGAGAGCCGGUAGCAAAUAAUCUAUUGAUUGAUUAGAAAAUAACAGAAUUACAAUAUCUCAUAAACUUAAAGAACUCACUCAAAAUAAUCACAGAUAAAAUUUUGGCAAAGGCCCCACGUCCUCAACGGUCUGUAAAAUCACGUCCUUCCCCUCGUCAUUCCCGCUUCGUCAAGAGUGCAACCAGCUUUUGUUUUUUCGUCCUUCUUCGCCCUUUGUUUUUCAAUGGACGCGUGCGCAUCAAUCCCCAAAGCGAAGCGGAUCUCUUAAACUCUGCAUUAUCACUUCGCCACCCGCAGCCCACCGGCGUGAGCUCAACCAGACCCCACUUAUGUGGGAGAACACCCUUGCAGCACUGGCUUCUGCGGCUGUUUCGACGACAUCAAUAGCUGUAACAGAAAUCUGGCUAUAUCCUCAGCUUCUUCUUCUCCUUUUCUCUUUUACGUAUCAAGGAAUAAAUCCAUGCAAUUCCGUGUUGCUUGCAGGCUGCAUCACCUUCGGACAGAUAUCAGAGAUCGCAGACAGAGGGGCAACAUAUGAGUACAUAAUUUUUGUAUCGGUGUCCGCAAAUAUGUCAGGUACAUGGUUAUUUUUCAAAUAAGUCCCUGAUACAGGUCGAGUUUCGUCUAAUGGUGAUCUUUUGGGAGGAACUGUAAUAAUAUUGGGUCACAAAUCAAGCCUGCGCAUGAAGAACUGUAGUCAAGCAAGUGGAGCCGGUUGGUUAGAGUUCAACAUUGGACAUGCAAUGUCAAAUUUUAAGAACUUAUCCCGAUUUGACAACUUAUUCAGAAAAUAUAGGAGAUUAAUUUUCCCUGUAAGAAAGGCUAAUUGAUUACCAAAGAACAGACAAAGGCUAAUUAUAUAUUUCUCACUUACUUAUCCGAGCUUGGAUUGCGGCUUGCCUUAUGAAUUGUGCAAUCUUCACGCUCAUCUCCUUGCUGACUUUGUGUACAUGCCUCUAUUCAUGCACCUACCGAACCAGACUGAGACGAGGGUUCCGGUUGAAGGAAGAUCCGUGCAAGGACUGCUCAGUCCACUGCUGCUGCAUGUACUGCGCGCCUUGUCAAGAGUCCCGAGAGCUCAAGAGCCGCGGAUUCAAUGUGGCAAAGGGUAAAAACCCAUCCCUUUCAAACAUCUUCCUGCUGGAUAGCUUCCUAAUUGUGUGUCUACUGGUCUUUUCAAGUGUUGAACAAGUACUGACUUAAAAUGGUCGGAUUGGUGUGUAGGAUGGGAAGGAAACGCCAGGCAACAUAGCGAAGUGGCAAUGGCUCCAGCGGUGCAAGGCGCUAUGAGGCGGUAGUGUCCAGUGCUGAUUGCGGGCAACUUCUUUUUUCUUGGAAUAACGUGUCAUGGUAUUAUCGGUUUCAUUUGGUUGGUGCAGUCUGUGCUAAGAGUUUUGAUUAAGUUUAUACUAUAAGACCUUUGGGUGAGUAUUGAGUUGUCAACUUCUGAAUCUUUUGAUGGCAGUGUCCAAUGUGUGAUUCUUCCCAUUCGUUCGGUCUCUGUGUCGAGGGAAUUUUAAUGGAAUUGUUGUCGUUGCUCUUUACACGAAACAUAAAUCGUACCAAAACUACAUAACAUUUAGGAUUGAUUUCUCUAUUUAUUUAUCGCAACUUCUAUGCCCGCAAAUGACUCCUUGCUCUCAUCCAUCGAUUGGAUCGAGUGUAAAUGGGUCAACUCUUUAAAAGAAUUAUCAAUCGAGACAUUUGGGAGCUAAAGGCGAAUGGACGUCGACUUUCACGGUCAUAAGAUUUUCUCACUCCUUAUGGAACUCGGAGGUAAUAUUUUCGAAUUUAGAUAUGCGCAUAUUGGCGGACCAAGGAGGCUCAUGGUAGCCUCCGCCUACUCCUCCUAGGACGAAAUAUUUUCUAUAUAUGUUAUUUAAAUGAAAAUUGUGUCUCUUACCUCAAAUUCUCGAUUUGCCAUUGUACGGACAAAGUAGGGGAGAUCGAUUCGAAGUGAGUCCAUUUCCACCCUAGAAUAGAGAACUGCCCACAAAAGGUCAGUUCCACAAAUUGAGAAUCGGGAGCCACCCACUAGUUCCUAGACCCACCUAGGAACCGAAACGCUGAUCCACUGUAAUUCCCAAGUGAGUCGAUGGAACCGGCGUGUGAUCACCACCACAACCCAUAUUUUCAAGAGUGGGGUUAAUCACUUUCAUUAGUAACUAAGAUUUUUAGGAUGGCAACAAGGAAACAAGGCACCGGCAUGAUCACCUCUUCAUCUUAUUUGUGUAGAAUAGAUUGCAUUUCUGAAUGGAGAGCUCGAGGAGGAGAUUUUUGUUGAACAACCUGAAGGCCUCAGUGUCAAAGGGCAAGAAGAGAAGGUAUACAGAUUGAGGAAAGCUCUAUAUAGACUAAAGCAGGCUCCAAGAGCUUGGUAUGGGAAAAUAGGCCGAUAUUUGCAGGAUUUUGGCUUUGUAAGAAGCUUGAGUGAGUUCACUCUUUAUGUUAAGAGGGUGAAUCAUAGUGUUGUAAUUUUUUCACUCUAUGUAGAUGAUUUAUUGGUGACAGGGAAUGAUGUGGAACUGAUAGAGAGGGUGAAGCAAGGUCUGUUUGCAGGUUUUGAGAUGUCAGACUUGGGAAAGAUGGCUUAUUUCCUGGGUUUGGAAGUCAAACAAGCUUCACAUGAGAUUUUCAUCUGCAAAAUAAUAAUAAUAAUAAAUACAUGAAGAAAAUUCUGAAGAAGUUUCAGAUGGAAGAUUGUAUAAGUGUAAGCACUCCUAUGGCCGCUAAGGAGAAGCUGCAAAAGAAUGAUGGAACAGAUGCAGUAGAUAUUUCUAUGUAUUGAAGCUUGAUUGGAUGUCUCAUGUAUAGACCAGAUAUUCUAUUUUCAAUGAGUGUUCUAUCCAAGUUCAUGAGUAGUCCUAGUUAGUUACAUUUGGUUGUUGCAAAAAAGGUCUCGAGAUACCUCAAAGGAACAUUGUUCCUUGGUGUGAAGUUUAGGAAAUGUCAAAAGUUUAAGUUGUAGGGCUUUUUUGAUAGUGACUGGGCUAGCUCAGUGAAUGACAUGAAAAGUACAUCUGGGCACUGCUUCACUCUUGAUUCUACUUGUUUCUCCUAGUGUUCCAAAAAGCAGGAGAUUGUAGCUCAGUCCAUUGCAGACUGAGUUUAUAGCAACUACUACAGUUGCAAAUCAAGCUUUGUGGCUGAAGAAGAUAAUGAAGGAUCCGUGGUUGAAUUCUGGUGAUUGCAUUGAAGUUAAUGUGGACAAUCAAGCUGCAUAAGCAAUAUCACAUAAUCCAGUUUUCCAUGGCAAAACCAAGCAUUUUAAAGUCAAAUUCUUCUUUCUGCGUGAAGUGCAACAAAGUGGUGAAGUUAAGUUGAUCUAUUGCAGAUCUGAAGAUUAGCUUGCAGACAUGUUCAUAAAGCCACUUUAGGCUAGAAGAUUUGAGCUGUUAAGAGAGAAAAUAGGAGUUUGCAGCAACAACUGAUCCAAGGAGGUUUGUUGGAGUUGUGUCUCAGUGUUGCUGCUAAUGUUCUGUUGUUUUUUUUUUACUCAAUCAAGUUUAUUUGUUAGGCGGUUAGUUUGUUAGCUAUUUCUAGGAAGUGAAACAAGUUCUGUUUUGCACAUUUGUGUGCGGUUCUGUUUUGCACGUUUGUGUGCGGUUCCAAAAGAUGUUCUUUUUGGCUUGUACUUGACAGUUUUUUUUAGUAUGAAUGAAGUUUAAUGUUCUGUUUUAUUCCUUCUCUCUCAGUGUAACUAGAAGUUUGUGAGUAUUAGUUGAAUAUAUCAGCAAUAAUAGAAACUCUGCCUUAUCUUUUCACCACCCGCAGCCCACCAGCAUGAGCUCAACCAGACCCCACGAUGGGCAAGAACAGCCUUGGAGCACUGGCCUCUGCGGCUGCCUCGACGACAUCAAAAUCUAUAACAGAAAUUUGUCUAUAUUCCCAGCUUUCUUCCUCUGCUUUUCUGUUCCACGUAUCGAGUAAUAGAAGAAUGCAACUCCAAUUCCGUGUUGCCUGCAGGCUGCAUCACCUAUUGGUGCCCAUGCAUCACCUUUUCGAUGGAUAUCAGAGAUCGUGGACAAAGGGGCGACAUGUGAGUACAUAAUUUCUGUAUACGUGUCCGCAAAUAUGUCUGAGGAUCGCUCCAUAUUAUUGUCAAUUUGCACUCAGAUUAUGCUUUAAGUACAUGGUUAUUUUUCGAAUAAAUCCCUGAUAUAGGCCGAGUUUUGUUUAGUAGUGAACGUUCGGGGCGAGCUUUGAUAAUAUUGGGUCACAAAUCAAGCCUGCGCAUGAUUAACUCGAGGGACAGUUCACAAAGCACGCAGAGAGUUAGAGUUGAACAUUGGACAUGUGAUGUCAACUUUUAUGAACUUAUCCCGAUUUGACAACUUAUUCAGAAAUUAUAGGAGAUUGAUUUUCCCCGUGAGAAAGGCUAAUUGAUUACCAAAGACCAGACAAAGGCUAAUUAUAAAUUUCUCACUUACUUAUCCAAGCUUGGAUUGCAGCUUGCUGCGCUAACUAUGGAAUCUUCAUGCUGAUCUACUGUCUGACUCCGUGCGCAUGCCUCUGGGCAUUCACCUACCGAACCAAACUGAGAUGAGAAUUCGGGUUAAGGAAGAUCCGUGCGAUGACUGCUUAGUCCACUGCUGCCGCAUGCACUACGCACUUUGUCAAGGGUACUGAGAGCUCAAGAGCCGCGGAUUCAAAAUGGAGAAGGGUAAAAACCCAUUCCUCUCCAACAUCUUUGUGCCGGCUAGCUUUCAAAAUAGUGUACAUACUAGUCUUCUUUAAGUGUCGAUUAAGUACUGAUUUAAAAUGGUUGGAUUGGUGUGUAGGAUAGGAAGGAAAUGCCAGCCAACAUAGAGAAGUGGCAAUGGCUCCAAAGGUGGAAGGCAGCAUGAGGCGCUAGAGUCCUGUCGCUGAUUAAGGGCAACAUCUACCAAUAAUAUAAUUCUCUUACCUCGCGUACUCCUGGGUUAAAGCGCAGGAUUCGCAGCAAAAAUGGACUAAGCAAUCAGCGCAAGGAUCCUCUUGCAACUGGUAUUGCUGUCUCGUCUUGGUGCGGUAGAAGCAGAAGUAGCAGCAGGCGCACCCGGUCAACAAGGCGAUCACCGUCUAAAUAGCUCCGUGAACAGGGCAUGCUGCAACAAAAACCGACCCGAGUAAGCAAGUCUACUUAUGUCAAUCCUUCUUCAAUUUGUGCGAACGCGAUUGAUUCUACUUGCAAACCGAUCUGUGAUCAGCAAUCUCCGCGAUUCGCCCAAAUGUGAUUCAAGGGCACCAAAAUGACAAGCAACCUGUGAGAUUAACAAGAUAUCAACCUACAUGAGCCAUAGAUAACACAUUUCCAUCUCUGGAUCCACUUAAAACUCAGACAUAUUACCAAAGUGGUGUAAGAUAAUUCGAUCGCUAAAUUCUUAUAACCCCGCGACAUUAGGCAAUUGCAAUUGGAUUCUCGAGUCUCUUAACUGUUUUGACUUUUCCCCAUCAAUGUUGCCUAGUGGAUGUAUACAUGGGCAUAACUAUUCCAUCAAGUGUUAAUCCACCUCUAAACCAAAUGGAUUGCGAGGAAAAUUCCAGAGGACUUACAAGUUAGAACGUCGUCGAAGCAACUGAAAAGCCCGGAGGACCAAUGCAUGCUGUUAAUGGGUCGACUUGAAGACCCGCAGGGGGCAGAGGAUUGUUCGGGCCCCGAAAUUCUUAUAACUUUGGUUCAUGGGUUGCACCGGAAUGCCAUCCACGGGCGGCAGCGGUGGCGGAGCAGAGGCGCCGGGCUUCUGUGGGUAGCCAUCAGAUGCGUUCGAGGAGUACAUAGCUUCAAUUCGCAACUACAGAGACCGGCUCCAACGAUCAAAGAAGGACGACACGACACAGCGAAAGAUCGAACCAGGAAGUGAAUCGGGCAAGGGCUAGAGAGGGUUGAAAGAUGAGAUGUUAGGUGAACUGCACAUGAUGUAUACGUCCUAUUUCUAUGCAUCUAACACUCAUAUAUUUGCGUAAAAGAGGGGUUUCGUCAGCGAAUGCUUUCACCAGAAGCGGCCGUGACCAAGCAAGUCGUUGAUCCGCCUUCGAAUCUGUUUGCUGGUCGCGGCAAUGACGAAGCGCCAACUUUGACGGUUGAUGGUUAGUUGAAAAGUAAAUGCCUUGUUUAAGCUCUAAGAUUUCGUUGUGCGAUUAAACUACGUAUAGACGUAUAGUUUAGUGCGGUGGGCAACGUUGACAAUGGUGUAAAUUGAGACGAGGUCAGGCAGUUUCGUAUGUAAUUUUGUUUUUUCUAUCGUGAUUUUUUUGGACCAAGAUUGGGUUCUAGAGUUGGACGCGACUUCGCUCUCGUGACACGACUGUCACACUUUCACAUAGAUCGCGACCUCGUUUGUUUCUAGAACACCAAACGUAGUUUCGAAAGGGGUUUGUCACCUAUAAUUAGGUGCAAUGUUGUUAUCAAGACAGCACAGGGCUCAGCAGCUUUUGUUACGUUCCUUUUGGGAUUUCGAGAUGAAUGUAGGGAGAACCCAUGGAAGAGAUGGGCUAGAGAUCUCGGCCCUAGGUGAAGGGAUAACUGAUUAAUUUUUCCGACCGGCCUAGAUUGGAUUUGUUGGAUAGUGUGGACGGCCAUUGAUUGUAUGGGGUUGUGUUUUAGUCUGUGAGAAAUGGGUCGGGAUUGUUGAGAAGAUGCUCGAUUUGGCGAGGGCGUCGCGGCUCUCGCCCAGUGGCCACUAACCCUUGGUUGGUCUCAUUUUUUUUUUUUAAAGAACAAAUAUUUAAAAAUUACAAAAUUGUCCACGUUCAUGCUGGUGUUAUCAUGUAGGACGCUCAACGUUCACGUUAAUGAUUUUUGGCAAAAAUUAGUUAUAUAGACUUCAUUGGUAAAUUAUCAAAAGAUUCAAAAUUCAAUGGGUCAAAACUGAAAUGUUUAAGAUUGAAUUGGUAUAAGUACAAUAAGUUUAUAAUUUUUUUUUCCUAUUUUUGUCACAUCGGCAAGUGCAAAUAUUGUCAAGUUGGGCUAUCCAUCGAGUUCUAACUUGCGACUUACCUUGCUGAUAGAUUCAUGAGGUAUGAGGUGGGAUUGUUUUACUUAUGUGACAACCCAAGAAAGGGGAGAUGUCCUCUCUAGUCCCACAUCACUUAGCGGGGAGUCAUGGGGCUAGUUUAUAAGGCUUGGGGUCCUUUAACUUGUGUAACGCGUUUUAAAACUAUGAGAACUCAAUGUCCAAAGCAGACAAUAUUAUACAGUGAGGCCCGGGUUGUUACAAAUGAUAUCAGAGCUGACUCCCGACCGCGUGUGGGGGCCACAGCGAGGGUGGAGAGUGUGACAACCCAAGGAAGGGGGGUGAGGACGCUGUGCCCUUAAGGGGUGGAGAGUGUGACAACCAAGGAAGGGGAGACGUCCUCUCUAGUCCCACAUCGUUUUAAAACCGUGAGGACUCAGUGUCCAAAGCGGACAAUAUUACACAGUGAGGCCCGGUCGUUACAACUUAGGUAAAUGUCCAUUUCAUAGAAGAACAUAUAGGCUUAUUUUUAUUUUUUUAAUGUGGAUAUCCUUUCAUAUAUUGACUAGAUUCUUCGCUCAUGUUGGAUGAGCUUUUGCGCAUUGACUUAUUAUGAGGCGAUUGAGUGAAAUUUUAUAAAGCGGCUUUAUUCACAGGAAAAAUAAAAGAAAAGAAAAGAGAACUUGUAUAAAGCCUGGUAAUUCAUGAGGAGAAUUGAGAUAGCUUAUACAGGGUAAAUGCCCUCUUGCUUCUGACCCUGGUCACGUCCUAAUAUGUUCUCCUCCUUUCUCUUCAUUGAGCAUCCGAUCGGAGAACGUUUAGCCAAAUUACUCGGAUUGCAACAUCAAUCCAACUAUGUAUCUAGACCAUCUAUAGCUUGGUGUCGAAAAUUCAUGUACGUGAUUUCAUAAAAUGUAUACCAUUUCCUUCUUCGAGAAGGGCAAACAACAAAACUUAUGCUGAUAGAUCGAGCAUGUUACCAUUUACUUUAAAGGUGAAAGCCGAUGGAGUAUGAUCCAUAUAAUAUCUUUUCGAUAUGGUAACCGGCUUCUCCCAUGUGAAGGGUGAUAAGAUGAUGAAAACAAUGUGCACAAAUCUGGUAUGGAUCGCCGAAACCAAGCUUAUAAUUAAUUCAUGUCAUGCUAUAUCUAUAUGAUUCAACCUUCUAAAAGUGGGAGUUUGUGUAUGGAGUUAUCGAAUACAUUCCAUGCCAACGAUGGACAUGGUCAGACUCAAGGAAAAUGGACAUUGGAUCCAAGCUAUUUUUAUUUCCUAUUCACAUGUAAACAAAGGAUAAUGAUACAAAUUGUCAUUAAAAUUUGACCCGAUGUGCAAUUUAAUCCCCCUGAACUUUUAAUUUGUUCAAUGUAGUCCCUAACUUUAGGCCAAUAUGUAAUGUUGUUCCCGAACUUUUAGUACAUGUUCAUUAUAGCUCCCGAACUAUACACAAAUAUUCAAUAUUGUCCUUCUAUUAAUUUAAGAUCAGUGACAACAUUGAACAUAUAUAAAAAAUUUAGGGAACGCGUUGCACAUUCAGCUAAAAUUUAGGGAUCAUAUUGCAUAGUGGACCAAUGUUCAGAAAUCAUUUGUGUUAUUUUUCCCGUAGAUGACAACAACAAUAAAAAAUCAAUCUAAUGAUAACUCGAUCAGCUUGGUAUCGUCAUGGCCGGCAUCCUUGACCGGCCACCCAGAACUCAAGUUAUCUUACUCCCCAUUUAAAUCGUGGCCAAAAGAGAGAGUUCACAUUACUAUAGAAUUUUAUCAUUUGUAUGCAUUUUGAUCGAAUUCAUUAUCGUUAUACCCUGUUUAGCAAAAAUCUCGUAUAUUAGUAAAAGGCUAGAAUUCGACCAAGUCAGCUAGGGAUGAGAUUGAUGCAAUGGUGUGGAAGCGAGGGAAGCAUCACAUUGCAUUAUAUUGUCCAGUUUAAGGCAAUCUUUUUUUCCCCUUUGAAUUAGCAGUAGUUUAUGCGUGAAUUGGCAACGAGUCUUUGUUAUGCAUCAGAUCUUUAUUGAUGAAGUUUUUUCGAACUGUUGGUGUUGAAUCUGGACCAUGCACCAAAGAGAGAAAUGUUAUGUUUUCAUGUUAUAUGAUUGGGAUCAUAUUGCGGGAAAUUUUUGACUAGGAGUUGAUAGCCCUAGAAUCGGGACACCAUAUCUACAGUAGUUGUAGCACUGCAAAAGGGUUUAGCAAAUGGCUUUGUUUUGAUGUUUGACGAUUCUGCUAGCUUUUAUGUAAUACAAAGAGUUCGUUACAUACAUAAGUUACUGAUACAAUGUUUCUGAUCAUGAAGAGAGAAACUUCUAAGUUUAUGAUACAAAUGUACAUCUAUCUAUUGAAUCUGAUAAGUUUCUUCAACUCUCACGAAUGCUGCUUAAUGUUUGGGGUCGUGCCUGAGGCCCAUAUUUGGUAAUCACCUCUCCUACAACAUAUCAUAUACAUAAUCAAAACUUUACCUGUUGACUACAAGAAGAUCAAAGAAGCUGCUCAAAUUUCAUACCAAGGUUAGCAUGGAAUCAUGUAUUGAAUAACUGUGAGCAUGUGUUAGUGUGCUUACUAAGUAGAGAGAGAGAGAGGUUAGCAUGAAACCGUGUAUUGAAUAGCUGUGAGCAUGUGUUACUGUGCUUACUAAGUAGAGAGAGAGAGAGAGAGAGAGAGAGAUUCCUAUGCUGGUCCUACAAGUAAGUACCUGAAAAGCUCUUUUGAAUCGAAGCAUGGUAACCAUCCCUAAUAUCAUUAGCUUUUCGAUGAUCUUAUCUAUUGCUUGAAAGUAAGAUAUCCUCCAAGACUGCUUGAAAUGCAAUGCACUACAAAAUCCCAAGAAUCCAAUUGCGAAUCCAGGUCCUAGGCCCGCAUAGAACCAAUUAUGGGUGUCCAUAUUGCCUUCAUUAGGUUCCCCUCUGUUCCGAAAAUCACCAUCUUGUUGAUCGAUAUCGGGAUGUUGCUCAUCUCUAGGGCAAACUUUCAAAAGAGGAGCUCCACAAAGUCCGUUGUUACCGUGAUACACAGAUUCAUCAUCCACAGUACGCAAAUGAAUGCUUGAAGGAAUAGGGCCUGAUAAAUUAUUGAAUGAGAGAUUGAGACAACUCAAAAAGUCUAAGCUGGAUAUGCUAGGAGGGAUUCUACCCAAAAUCCUAUUGUUGGAUAGGUCAAGGGAUUCUAAUUUUUUGAGGUUGCCAAUGUUUGUAGGGAUUUCUCCACUCAAAUUGUUUUGAGAGAGGUUCAAAUUCUGAAGUUCAACGAGCCUAGUCAACUCUUUUGGUAUUUCACCAUUUAAAUUGUUUGCAGAUAAGUCAAUGGAAUGGAAGAAAUGGAGUGUCUUG